rnacentral:lncRNA from 1 species
AGAAUUAUGACAUUAAAAGUGUUGUCCUCUUUCAUGAUAGACUUAUCUAACAUGUUCUUCCAAUGAUACAUUACCAAUAGGAAGAAUUUUAAGGAUUAGACUACUUAGGUACAUUUACAUGCCAUUUAAAGACAAUCUAUGGUUUUGUAGUACCAAGUCUGGAAACUAAACUUUCGGCUUUUAUUUGUCAAGUGUUGGAUAGCGUUUGCAAAUAUAAUGGUAAAUAAAUACAUAACGAAUAUAAAUUGAUUGAUUUUAAACCAUUUGAUCCGGGUCUUUAAAUCAAAUAGCACCACCCACUAUUUUUGGCAAAUUCCAUAUCCCUCAUUGGAAUUCGAGAGUUUUUGGAGGAAACUCUUAGUAGGGUAUGGGAGACUCACUACUACCAAGCCCACCUCACAAUGAUAUGAUGUUGGCUGGCAUUAAUAAUAAUGAGAGAGUACGCUUACUCAUUCACAACAACCUCUUGUGACUACCCAUCUUUUUGGCCUCUAGAAAACAAUGCCUCACGAUUAUACAAUGUUGGCACCAUUUCUCUUAGUUAAGUUCUUUCCCACCAUGCCGGUUUAGAUAGGGGUUCAAGUAUGACCUCACGAUGAUACGAUGUUGGCCACACUCGUUGCCUACCUUAACCUGAUCAAAUGUUUUAAAUAAACUCCUCCUGAGUAUAAGCAUGCACUUUGCACUCCCCCAUGAUAGGGUGAAGGCGGUGUACAAGUCAUAAACGAUUAGAGCCUACCACGGUGGAAGGCCACGAAAGAGUGUUCAAACCACUCUCACACUUGUCAACUUAAUAAUGGUUUGGUUGAGGGUUUUAGGUCUCAUCACAUAUAAAUAUUCAUUUUAAUCUUUAUUAAAACAAUUUUGGUCCUAUUACAACUAUUGGUCCAUUUGAUUGUUUUAGUUGUAUUUAAUACUCCCACUAUGCUUAUAAAACGGUUUUUAAAGCAAGAGUAUAUGAUACUACUAACAUAAGGUUUGCAUUCAUUGAUGAACUAUAUAGUUGCCUUAGGACCUUAGGAUGACUAUGAACCUUUGUUUAGAUUCAACACGAGCCUAGUGUUGAAUCUCGGUCUAGGGAUGGUGAUUGAUUUUAGUUACGCGUUUAAUCACAUUAAGGUGUGUUGUCUUAGGGGCGUUGGACCCAACUACUUCAUUUUCAUGCAUAUCAAAUAAAGCAAGAAAGAAGUACUUCAAAGUAAAGGUGAGCUUAUGCUCAUUACAACAUUUGCAUAAAUUAAAUUACUUUAAAGUAAAGAAGAGCUUAUGCUCUUUUACAACAUUUGAUCAAAUCAAAUUACAACCAAAAUCUAAUCUAUACAUUCCCAUGGUUCAAACAAAUUUGAAACGGCCUUUCACAUAGCUCAAUUAUCGUAGGCUUAGGUUCAUAAUCACCCUUUAAUUAAUUAACACUUUAACUAAUUAAAUUGAAUGCAACAUUUCAUUUGGUUUUUGUAUCCAUAAGAUUGAUUUAAAUGGAGCUAAAUGAAAUGAAAAUCCAAUUCUCAUUUAAGGAGACAAAACAAUUUUGUUCUCAACCUAAUUUGGGCCAUCAUGCAAUAACCACAACCUUUUGGGCUAUAAAGCAAUUAACCUCAACUUUUGGGCUAUAUUGCAAAACUUUUGGGGUCACUUUGUAAAAACACAAAUGUCCACUACUUCAUGUAAUUACAACUAGAACCCAAAAUUUUAAUAAUGCAAAAACUUCAUUAAAGGAGCAAAACAAUUUGUCCUUUAGCGUUUUUGGACCUAAACGUAAAAACGUAAACUUUUGGGCCAAAGUGCAAAUACACAAAAGUAUCAAAACUUUAUGUAAUUGCAUAAAAGCCCCAAAAGUACCCUACAUGUAGGGUGGCCGGUUUUGGAGAGGAGAUGUGAGUGAUGUGUGUGUUGAUUUGUGAGUUUUGACAUAAAGCAUGCAAGUGGUGCAUGACAUAAAUGUCAUGCAAGUGGUGUGUGUGAAAGGAAAUUAAUCCUUACACACCCACCAAUAUUUCUUACACCUUUUAAACAAAUAUCUAAUACAUUUAAACAUUUGAAAAACAUAAAACAUAAACUUUAUGAAAUAAAUCAAGACUUUGAAUCAAAACACCAAACUUUUUGUUCUUGGCAAAAAUGUCAAGAACAAUGAAGAACACUCAUGAAAAACUCAAAACCAUUCAAACUUAAGGGAAAUAACAUAUAACCAUUCAAACUUAAGGGAAAUAACAUAUAACCAAACUAGGGUACAUAGGGGUUCCAAAAGUUACUUGAAAACACUUUUAACAAGUCAAACAAGAACCCAAAAAUCCACCCUUUGGAUUUGGCCGAAAAUUCCCAAAAACAUGGCACCAAAUUUUAGCUCAAAUAUUCAUGCUCAUAUGAACUACAUCUACAACAUUUGAGAUGGCAAAUUUUCCAACAAAAUUUACAUUCAAAGAAACAAGAAUAAAGCUUGUAACAUAUUACAACUUUUAAAUCAAAACUAUGAACUACAAAACCCAAAAGGAUUCACCAACUACUAGACCUAGGCUCUGAUACCACUUGAAGGAUGAUUUUGUGAAAACAUGUUCAUUUGAAUAACAUCAUAUAGCAUGCAAUUAACAAUUAAAGGUGGAAUCAUGCUUGCAUGCAUUCAAAUACAAAACAUUACCCAUGAAAUUCAAAGUCUAGUAGAUUGGUGAACCAAGACUCAACUCAAAUCAAAGUGAGUUGAGAAAUAUAUACCUUUGUAGAUUCCUCUUUGCAUAAGCAAAGGCUAAUCACCCAAAGAGAGGGCCUUCAUUCCUUGCUUCUUAGAUCCAUGGAUUUGGAUGGAAGAAUAUGGUUCUCCAAGUUCCCAAAAUUGAGAACCUCUAAGGGGGCGUUUGUUGCGCUGGACUAUCUCGGACUGGACUAGCUUCAAGGACUAAGCUGGACUGGCUUAGACUAGACUAAGCUGGACUAACUUAGUGAAGCGUUUGGUGCAGUGUUGGACUAAGAAGCGGAUAAUAACAAAUUCUAAUAUUAUAUUAUUUAAUAUAUAAAUUAAUAAUAUUUUAUUAUAAUCUCGGUGACCGGAGAUGACGAGGAGUCUAUCGGGAGUGGUUGUUGAGCAUGACGAGGACGAGAGAGGAUAGUCUUAGCUAGUCCCAUGGUUAUUGGGGGGUCUCACUAAGACCUCUUAGUGAAGGGUUUGUCCAUGCUAGUCCCCUUUAGUCUCAUUAAUGUUAGUCCCAGCAUGAAACAAACACAGUAUUGGACUAACAGCUAGUCCAGUCCAGUCCCAUUUAGUGAGGGCAAACAAACGCCCCCUAAGUGUCUACACCAAGGUUAGAUUGGAGAAGAAAUGAGUGACCUUGGAGGAGUGGGAUUGCUAGAUAUACCCUCCAAGGGGGCCGGCCUCCUAGAGAGAAAAGAGAGCUUUGUGUUCUCUCCAAUGUCCUAAAAGAAACCCUUUAAUGAAUUUUAGGCUAUAAAAUUCUUUAUAUAGUCACUUCUUUAAAUGACUUAAGAACCAAAACCCUAAUUCAACACACAUGGCCGGCCAUAUAAUGGAUUUGGGCUUUUGGGCCUUUGUGAAUCUUUAUUCAUUAAAUUGUCAUACAACUUAAGUCAAUGGGCUUGACAUUCGAAGCCCAUUGGGCCUUAAGGUCCAAAACUAUCCCGAGGUCUUUAACGAACUUAUUCGUUUGAUUAAUUAACAUAUUAAUUAAUCCUUGCCAUAAAUAAUUAAACCAUUUAAUCAUUCUUACUCAUCUCCAUUGUUUCUUCAAUCUCCACCUUACACGGUGUACGAUCCAUUAGGUUCCUUUUAGCGCGGCAGUGGGCGAUUAAAACUCUUUAAAAUCGAUUGUGAAUUGAAACUUACUUUCAAUUCUCCCUUUAGUGGAAGACUACGACGAAGACGGUGGUGAAGGCUCUGAUCUUUCAACUAGGUUGUUUCUUCGAAGGUGACUUGAUGAGCAAUCUCGACAAGUUGAACAGACAGUUGUCUAAAAAAUGAACAAUUUGCUCGAGGUAAUACGAAGUAAUGGUGAGACCCACACCAAAUUGCUCAAAUUAUUAGUUAGCAGAGUAUUCGAAUGAGGACUUGCCAAUUAGGCUCAGCAGUUUCCACUUAAAAGUAAUCAGCUACAGGCCGAAGUAGCGUCUACUCGGCCCAAAGUGAUUGACUUAGAAAAAAAUGGAGGAUUAAGUAGUAGGUCAGAUGGAUCCAACCAGAGAAUGGAAGUGACAUCCGUUGAUAUGACCGAGGUCCAACGGAUGAUGUAUUCGACCAUGAAAAAGGGGCCGAAGUUCCCGAAAUUCAUCCAUCCAUAUCCAGCUUAUGUGGAAAAGUUCGAAUAUCCUAAAGGUUUCAAGAUUUCAGAUUUCAGUCUUUUUGCUGAAGAAUCAUCCUUAUCCUCGUUAGAACAUGUGACCCGUUUCACUGCGCAAUGCAGAGAUGUCAAUAGUGAUUUCCAUAAACUAUGGUUGUUCAAAUUUUCAUUGACAGGCUCAACAUUCGCAUCGUAUAUCAACCUCCCACCUAAUUCUAUCCAAAGCUGGGAGGAGUUGGUCCAGAAGUUUCACAAACAGUUCUAUCGGUCGGGGAUGGAAAUGUCAGUUUCUUCAUUGGCUAUGAUGGCUCAAGCAUCUGAUGAGUCACCAAUGGACCAUCUUACAAGGUUUAAAUCAGCCAAGAAUUGGUGUUGAGUACCUCUUCCCGAAGUCGAAUUUGUUUGGCUUGCUCUGAAUGGGCUCGACGUGGAGUACAAAAAGAAAUUCCUGGGGGUAAACUUCCGGGAUAUGUAUGAGUUAGCCUAACAUGUCGAGCAAUAUGAUUAUUUGCUUCGAGAAGAAAAGGUCUCAAAAUCCCCAUCCCUAGGAACGAUUUACAAAAAUCCCACGGUCAGCUACGUAUUGGCUGAAGGCGAAGAUUCCCAAUACGUCAGUGUGGACGCGACCGAGAUAGUAAUAAAUAAACCAUAUAUUUGCAAGGCAUUGACUUAAAUUAAUUCCAAGAAUGCCAAAACCCACUCGACCACUGAAGAGACAGAGAAAACAUCGAAAGUUUACACUUUUGAUAUCACAAAGGUCGAGGCAAUUUUCGACCAAUUGUUGUUAGUAAAGAUUAUCAAACUUCAGCCAGGACAUACCAUUCCCAAGGCCGAAGAGCUUAAAGGGAAGAAGUAUUGCAAGUACCAUAACUCGACUAAGCAUACCAUGAACAAUUGUGUCAUAUUCUGUGAUGAUAUUCAAAGCUAGAUUGACAAGGGCAAGCUAAAGUUUCCCGAAAAAUGAAUGAUGAUUGACGCUGAUCCAUUCCCUUCGCCAACAGUUGGCAUGGUAGACGCCUACUUUCCCAAGAGCAAAGGGAAAGGGAAGGUCGAGUUUGUCCCAGUACAACAUGUCCCAAAGAAAAACUCCCAGCCACGACUCAAGAUUGACUUAUUUUCCAAUGAACCACCUACCAAGUAUUUGGGACCAACUGUAGUCGAAUCUAUGUUAGAUUCCAGUGCGGAAGAAAUUGAUGGGCCGAUGGUUUUGUGUAGCAAUUGUAGGGCACGCGUUGUAUUAACCGAAUCCAAUGAGAGAUCAACACCACGACAACCAUCCAAGUCCGCGACGACACACCCAAAGGAACUUGGCGGAGGCCUGAUAGAAGCAUAUUUAUGCGACUUAGUUAGCCUGUUCUUGUGCAUUUGUUUUGUUAUUUCUUAGUUAAUAUAGUAUUUCAAGUCAUUUUUGUGUGUUUGUAGGUCCAAAGGAUUAAAGAGACAAAGAAAUGCAUUUUGGAGCCGUUUUGGGCAUAAAAUGGAUAUCACAUGCUUGGAGCCAAAUGGAUGGACGAAAUUGAAGAUUAAAGAAGCUUGGAAUCUGCCAAAGAAAAGGAAAAGAAGUAAUUCAAGUCAAAAAAGGAAAAGGAAUCCAAGAAGAAGAGGGAUUGGCCGAGUCAAGGUUUCCUAAUCCUAAUGCAUAAAGGCUUCAGCUACAAGGAGGAGUCCUAAAUACUUUGGGACACAUAAUUCUCAGCCUUUGUAGGUUGCCGCACCUUUCCCUUCACUUCCCUUCCCUUGCCGCACAAGAAAACCCAUUCCCUUUAGAAUUAGGGCAUUGCCGCACCUAAAUCAGAAAGGAAAUUCUUUUUUCCUUGCCUUGCAAGGCAUUCCCUUGCCCUUUCCUUCUCAGCCGCACCUCAUGUCCUUAUUCCCUUGGGAUUUUGGCUCUAACUCCUAUUUCCUCUAAAUUUUGGAUUUAAUUCUGCAUCUUGUUACCCAAAAGCCUUUAAAUAAAGACAUCCAGCCGCAUUCUUCCCAUCCAUUCUCAAAAACACAUCCAGCCGCAUUCAUCCUUCGCAAACCCUCAUAGUUUCUGACCUCAAUCCAUCCAAAACAUCACCAUACCUUUUCCCAUCCAUUCCUCUAUACAAAAAACCUUUCAAACCAUCACCAAUACCUUGUGCCGCAACAAAGGAAGGGAAGGAAAGUGCCUGGAGGUGUUUGCUGUCCAAUUUGGAUCAUUGGAGCGUUUUAUGUGUUUUCUUUCUUUUGUUUCCAAUGUAUAAUUCUGUUUAUCUUUGUUUUGCGAUUAUGAGGAACUAAGCCCUUUUUAGCUAGGAGGCUAUUCAAAACCAUGAUUAUACUUGCAUUAUGAAUUGAUUACCUUCAGUUGUUAUUUCAUAAGUUAUGAAUUCAAUUUGCUUAACCGUUUGAUUGAUAACUUAUUCUUGUAUGUUUAUUAAGAGUGCACGCUUAGUUCUCAUGCAGGGAUUUGAAGCUAAAAUACAAGGGAGUUUCACCUAAUAGUUACAAACUUAUAUUUCCAAGUAGUGGAGGUCGCUUAUAAACGAUCGCGUUAAGUGAAUUCUUGGCAGGAGUAUUAUGCUCAUCAUAGUUACGAAUGCCUCGUCAAAGCUUAUAGAUUUCAUGGAGCUUAAUGAUCUUUGAUUGUACAUUUAUUGUGCUUUUCACGUAGGGGACUUUUAAAGAAUGUUUUGAAUUGUUGUAUGUGCUUUCCCAUCCAAUUCAAUAACUUAAGGAGAACUUGAAGGUUAAAAAAGUGUUGUCACGGUUAACCUGAGGUAUUGAGUUUCAUGGUCUUUUGAAAGAAACAAUUGGAUAUCAAUUUGAAUGCAAGUGUGUCAUGUGUGGAGAAGAACCUUCUAGCUAGCCCAUCAUCCAUCUAAUUCAACCAAUUUUGUGCAAAUCUGUCUAGUUCUAGUUCUGGCUUUGUUUUACUUUAUUUUCGUCCAAAACCAAAUCCCCCUUUACUUUAGAGUGUCUAAUUAGUUAGAAUCUGUUUAGUUUGUGUUUUUUAAGUGUUUUGAGUCAAGUUAAAACCAAUUUUCAUCCAAAGUCAUUCCUAGUGUCUAGUUUGAGUCUAUUUAGUUGUUUUAAGCUGUUUUGAGUUAUUCUAGUUAGUUUUGAGUCUUUUCAGUUUGUUUUGAGUUCUUUGAGUCUAGUUAAGUGUUUUAACAAUCCAUCCUAAUCCCCGGUUUAAGAACGAUCCAUACUUACUUAUAUACUACAAUUGUCAAAAGAGGGUUUAAUUUGUGUGUUAAGUUAAUUUUUGCAUCAAAUUUUGGCACCGUUGCCGGGGAUUAGCAACUUUUAUAAUCCCUUGUUAUUUCUUUUUGUUUAUUUUGCGUAUGUUUGUGUUUUAGCUUCUGACCAUUGCUUGUUUUCUUGUUUUAGGUAGUUUAUGACUCGAAGUUCUCAACCUGUUCGUGAGCACAUCCUUGACUUUGACGACGAUUUUGAAUGAACUUUGAGACGAGCAAGGAAUCAACAAGAACCCCAACCACCUCAACUUGCACCAGAUCUUUAAGAAGAUGAAGUACAAGUGGAAGAGGAGGCCACGACUCAGAUUUUUUAGUAAGAACAAGUUAUGGCAGCUGACAAUCGAACAAUCAAAGAGCUUUCCGCUUCGGGAUUGGACAAUGCCAUGCCCUUAUGCAUUCAAUAUCCAAGGGCUGCCCAAGACAAGACUAACGAGUUCAAAUUAAAGUCUAUCCUAUGGCACCAUAUUCCUAAGUUCCAUGGGUUGUCCAUGGAAGAUCCUAAUAAACAUUUGAAGGAGUUUGAGGUUGUUUGUUCGAGUAUGAGCCUCGUGAAUGUUGAUGGGAGCAUUUUGAAGAUGAAGGCUUUUCCCUUUUCUCUCUUGGAAAAGGCUAAAGAUUGGUUGUAUGAACUAGCUCCCGGAACUAUCACAUCUUGGGAGAGCAUGAAACGGGCAUUCUUGGAGAAGUCUUUCCCAACUACUUGAGUUAUUCUUCUACGCAAAAGGAUUAGUGGCAUUUAGCAAAACCAAGGUGAAUCAUUCCUAGCUUACUACGAGCGAUUCAAGACCCUUGUUGCCUCAUGUCCUCAGCACCAAAUGAAGGAGGAGCUUUUUCUUCAGUAUUUCUACGAAGGGCUUCUACCAAUAGAACGCUAAAUGCUAGAUGCCUCAGCGGGAUGAGCUUUGGUGGACAAAACACCCAUGGCUGCUAAGACACUAAUUGCAAACUGUGCAUUGAAUGCACAAUAAUAUGAAGCCAUUGGGCAAAGGGACACCCCACGGCAGCAAGUAAAUGAGGUAAGUUCCACAUCCAAUAUUCAAUCUCAAUUAGCUAAUCUUACUUCCAUUGUAUCUCAGAUGGCCGAAGGGAUGAAGAUGCAUGGACCAAUUGUGUGUGGCCUGUGUUCUAUCCAAAGACACUCCUCUGAAAAGUGCCCUCAAUUAAUUGAGAAUGGUGGAUGGGAAAGCGCUAAUGCUGUUGGAUUUCAAGGGCAAAACCAGCCAAGGAACGAUCCAUACUCCAACACAUAUAAUCCAGGUUGGAGAGACCAUCCAAAUUUCAAGUGGAGGGAGCCCCAACAAACCGAACAACAAGGAGGCUUUAGGCAGCAACCCCCAGCCUUCUACACAAAGUCAUACGCACCCACACAAGCCCCACAACAAUCUGCCCAAAACACUUCAGGUACUUCUUUGGAUAAUGACACACUUAUUAAGUUACUUACCAAUUUGUCUCAGGGGCAAGAAAAUCACACCAAAGCAAUGCAAAACCAAGACAAACCGGUGGAUCAAUUGGAGAAGCAAAUUGGGCAAAUUACCGAGUUUGUAGGGCAGUUUCAAGACCAAGGAAAACUCCCUAGUUCAACCAUUGCAAAUCCAAGGGGAGGUUUUGAAACGGCCAAGGCAAUCAUCUUAAGAAGUGGCAAGGAAGUCGGGGCAGGUUCACAACCAUCAAAAUUAGGUCACAAGGAAGAUGAAAGGUUGCAAAUUGAAGAGGAGGAAUACACUCAACCCACGGCAAGGGUGGAAACACCUUUGCCGCAGGCCCCAAGUGCUCCUAAACCAUCAAAUCUGUCCAAUAAAGGUAAGAACGUGUCAAAUUCAAUUCCUACUAAUGUUAUUCCUUCGAAUGUACCUUUUCCUCAUAGAUUUAUGCAAUCAAAGAAGGAGGAGGCUGAAAAGGACAUCCUGGACACUUUUAGGAGUCAACAUUCCACUCCUUGAUGCAAUUAAACAAGUUCCUAGGUAUGCCAAGUUUUUAAAAGAACUUUGCACAACUAGGAAGAGAAUUUCGAGCAAGGAGGUUGUCAAGGUAAGUGAAAAUGUCUCAGCUAUUUUACAACAUAAACUGCCCCCUAAAUGCAAAGAUCCGGGUAGUUUUACAAUUCCAUGCGUUAUUGGGAAUACUAGAUUUGAGCAUGCCAUGUUAGACUUAGGUGCACCCAUUAACGUCAUGCCAUACUCUAUUUAUGCAUCAAUGAACUUAGGGGAGUUGAAAAAUGAUGGAGUUAUUAUCCAAUUGGCCAAUCAUUCUAAUGCAUAUCCAAAGGGAGUUUUGGAGGACGUUUUGGUGCAGGUUAAUCAUCUUAUCUUCCCAGCAGAUUUCUAUGUUCUAGAGAUGGAAGAUUCAAGCCAUUCUUCCCCGUUGCCAAUCUUGCUUGGACAACCAUUCAUGAAGACGGCUUAAACCAAGAUUGAUGUGGCUAAGGGAGCAUUAACAAUGGCGUUUGGUGGCGAUAUGAUUCACUUUAAAAUUCCUAAAUAUAUUAAGAAUCCUACUGAUGUUCGUUCUUGUUUUUCCAUUGAUGUAAUUAAAGAUGUAGGGCAUGAAAAUUCAACACCAAUUAAGAAGGAUGGAUUUCAAACCACCAAAGAAGAGGGAAUUGGAGUGGAGCACAAAGAACAUGCCACUAACCUCAAAAUGCACAAUCUGGCUGAGAGCACCAUUGGAGAAUCUGUUGACAAUGCUGCCAUUCCAUUGCAACAUUGGUGAGUCAUUUAGUCCACUUCCAAUUCCCAUUUCAACUAAUAGGUUGUUACCUUCUUUGGUGCAGGUCCCCAAUCGAAUCCAUAAUGAUGGGAGCAUUUACAUUGACUUUAGAAAGCUAAAUGCCACAAUCAGGAAGGAUCAUUAUCCUCUUCCAUUGAUGCGAGAAUUACUUGACACACAAAUUAAACCCUCUUUUUGACAAUUGUAGUAUAGAUGUAAGUAGGGUAUCGUUCUAGGCCGGGGAUUAGGAGGGAUUGCUAAUCUAUUCUAAAUUAAUUUAAAAAUAUUAAACAAGACUCAAUGACACAAAACUAGGCUAAAAACUCUAAUAACUCGAAACACACUUAGAAUGACUUAAAAUAAUGAAAACAAUCAAAUUAGACACUAGGAACUGAAAUGGACGAAAAUUAAAUUAAAAGACUAACAAUAAAGAAAACUAACAAAAAAAAUAUAAUUUAAUAAUGGAUGGGUGUUUGGUUUUGAUGAAAAGUAAAUUAAACUUAAUUAAAUUACAGAAUUGACAAAAACAUGAAAUUAAGGUGAAAGGAUAGAUGACGGACUAGCUAGAGGGUUUUUCUCCACACAUGACACAUAUGCAACCUAAAUUGAUUUUUCAGUUGUUCUUUCAAUAAAUUGUAAAUCUCAAUGCCCCAAAUUAACCGUGAAUUGCACUAAUUAACCUUCAGUUUUUUCCACAAGUUUAUUGGGUUGGAUGAUUGCAUACGACAACCCAAAACAUUCCCUACAAGUUCCCUACAUGAAUUGCAUAAUAGAGAUACAAGCAAGAAUCAUUAAGUUCUAUGAAAAACAUAAGCAUUGACGAGGCACUCGUUACUAUGAUUUGCAUGAAACUUAUGCCAAGAAUUUACUUAACGUGAUUGUGACUAGCAACCUUUACUACUUGUGAAUAUAAGUUCAUAACGAUUAGGUGAAAUUCACUUAUAUUCUAGCAUCAAAUUCAUGCAUGUAAAUUAAGUAUGCAUCCUUAAUCGACAUACAAAAAUAAGUUAUAAAUCAAGCAGUUAAGCAAAUUAAAUCACAACUCAGAAAUCACAACUGAAGGUAAUCAAUUCAUAUUACAAAUAUAUUCAUGGCUUGAAUUAACCUCUAGCCAAAAUAAAUUUAGUUACACAUUAUUAUCAAAUUAAACCAGAAAUUAAACAUAAGUUGGAAAGUUUUAACCGAAAGAGUAGAAGCUUGCUGUUUCUGUUUCUGUCCGUGCUCUCACGCUGGUUCUGCCCUCAGUAGGGCAGCUUUCCUUUCCUGCCCACCGCCUCUGCACGUCACCUUGUUUCACGCUGCCAAGAGCAGCAAGAGCUCUCGGUUCUCUCCCUCUGACUUCUGUCCGCACAGUUUUCUGUGCUGCCCGUGCCUUCUCGGUUUUCUGCUGCCGCAAGGCAGCUGUCUCUUCGUCCAGCCUUCUCUCCCCGCGUCAAUCUCUCCCCACGCUGCCCACUUUGACUAACCUCUGGCUGCGCCAGUCUCUUGCUGCCAAAGGCAGCACCUAAUCUCUCCCUUUCGUUACUGACUUGCUGACCAGUCCUUGCUCAAGCUGCCAAAUGGCAGCCCCUAUUCUUUCCUUCUGUGGACUGUCAGUCUCGCUGCCAAAGGCAGCUCUCUACCUUCCACCAAUCCCCCCUCUUGCUGCUGACCGCCAAGGCAGCUAUAAGCUGCUUCUUAUUUCCUUUUCUUUUUUAUUUUCUGUCAGUACCCUCUUUGUUUAUUCCCCCCGUGCUCACCUCCCCCUCCACUUAACUGCUUCUUAUAUUUUAUUCUUCCACUAAUCCAUUUUGUCUGCCUGUUUCUUUGCUUUUAUCAUUUUCUGUUUCUUUUUGUUUUCUAUUUGCUUCACCAACCACACUGCCAAAAUUUGUAAUACAAUUCCUCCAGAGACCAAAAUUACCAAGGCAGCAAGUUUUCCAGUGUGCAAGCAAGCACUAACCUGAAAUCAUGUGGUGCUUAAAAUAAAUAUAUGGAAAGCAUAACUCAGCAAAUUGACAAUAGCAAAUAAAAGAAAGCAGUCAUGAAAAUAACGUAAAUAGAUCUUAUUUGUGCUAUUUUUGUUUUCUUUACAUAACAGAUCUUAUAAACACAAAAAUAACAUAAAUAGCUCAAAAAUAUAAGGAACUAACUAAGAAAAGACGAGUGAAUUUGAAGUAAAAAUAUAUAUAAAUAUGAUCAUAUAUAUACAUGUAUUAAUAAUUCCGUUCUCGCUUCUAAGUAGUACCAUUCCGUUCAUGAGAUCAUAUAUAUACAUGUAUUAAUAAUUCCAGAAAUUGCUUCUUUGUUGAAAAACAUAUGUGAGUACUAGUCUUCAUGUUUACAUCAAUCUUCUCACAUAUAUCUAGUAGAGGGAGUGUAGUCAGAAAUUCUUGUGUGAAAACAAAAGUGUACUUAGUGAGGAAUUGAGUGAACUCUCUAAGGCAUGUUACUCCAUUCAAAAUGUUGUUUUAAUUGAUUAAAUGUGAGCUAGUGAAUGGUGACUAUGAUUAAGUAUGCUUGAGUGUAAGGAUUGCUUAAAUCUAUGUGAGUAGUGAUGUUUGGCAUGUUAUGUUUCAUUGGAAAUCCCUGAGGCAAAUGUUGGAAGGUCUAGGUUAUGUUUUGUUUGUUUUGUUUUGCUCGAGGACUAGCAAAAGCUAAGUGUGGGGGAAUUUGAUAGGAGCAUGUUUAUGCGACUUAGUUAGCUUGUUCUUGUGCAUUUCUGUUGCUAUUUCUUAGUUAAUGCAGUAUUUCAAGUCAUUUUCGUGUGUUUGUAGGUCCAAAGGAUUAAAGAGACAAAGAAAUGCAUUUUGGAGCAGUUUUGGGCAUAAAAUGGAUAUCACAUGCUUGGAGCCAAAUGGAUGGACAAAUUGAAGAUUAAAGAAGCUUGGAAUCUGCCAAAGAAAAGGAAAACAAGUAAUUCAAGUCAAAGAAGGAAAAGGAAUCCAAGAAGAAGAGGGAUUGGCCGAGUCAAGGGUUCCUAAUCCUAAUGCAUAAAGGCUUCAACUACAAGGAGGAGUCCUAAAUACUUUGGGACACAUAAUUCUCAGUCCUUGUAGGUUGCCGCACCUUUCCCUUCACUUCCCUCCCCUUGCCGCACAAGAAAACCCAUUCCCUUUAGAAUUAGGGCAUUGCCGCACCUAAAUCAGAAAGGAAAUCCUUUUUCCUUGCCUUGCAAGGCAUUCCCUUGCCCUUUCCUUCUCAGCCGCACCUCAUGUCCUUAUUCCCUUGGGAUUUUGGCUCUAACUCCUAUUUCCUCUAAGUUUUGGAUUUAAUUCUCUAACCUAAAUUAAUUUAUGCGUCUUGUUACCUAAAAGCCUUUAAAUAAAGACAUCCAGCCGCAUUCUUCCCAUCCAUUCUCAAAGACACAUCCAGCCGCAUUCAUCCUUUGCAAACCCUCGUACUUUCUGAUGUUAAUCCAUCCAAAACAUCACCAUACCUUUUCCCAUCCAUUCCUCCAUACAAACAACCUUUCAAACCAUCACAAACACCUUGUGCCGCAGCAAAGGAAGGGAAGGAAAGUGCAUGGACGUGUUUGCUGUCCAAUUUGGAUCAUUGGAGCGUUUUAGGUGUUUUCUUUCUUUUGUUUCCAAUGUAUAAAUCUGUUUAUCUUUGUUUUGCGGUUAUGAGGAACUAAGCCCUUUUUGGCUAGGGGGCUAUUCAAAACCAUGAUUAUACUUGCAUUAUGAAUUGAUUACCUUCAGUUGUUAUUUCAUAAGUUGUGAAUUCAAUUUGCUUAACCGUUUGAUUGAUAACUUAUUCUUGUAUGUUUGUUAAGAGUGCACGCUUAGUUUUCAUGCAGGGAUUUGAAGCUAAAAUACAAGGGAGUUUCACCUAAUAGUUAUAAACUUAUAUUUCCAAGUAGUGGAGGUCGCUUAUAAACGAUCAUGUUAAGUAAAUUCUUGGCAGGAGUAUCAUGCUCAUCAUAGUUACGAAUGCCUCGUCAAAGCUUAUAGUUUUCAUGAAGCUUAAUGAUCUUUUAUUGUACCUUUAUUGUGCUUUUCACGUAGGGGACUUUUAAAGAAUGUUUUGAAUUGUUGUAUGUGCUUUCCCAUCCAAUUCAAUAACUUAAGGAGAAUUUGAAGGUUAAAAAAGUGCUAUCACGGUUAACCUGGGGUAUUGAGUUUCAUGGUCUAUUUAAAGAAACAAUUGGAAAUCAAUUUGAAUGCAAGUGUGUCAUGUGUGGAGAAGAACCCUCUAGCUAGCCCAUCAUCCAUCUAAUUCAACCAAUUUCGUGCAAAUCUGUCUAGUUCUAGUUCUUGCUUUGUUUUACUUUAUUUUCGUCUAAAACCAAAUUCCCCUUUACUUUAGAGUGUCUAAUUAGUUAGAAUCUAUUUAGUUUGUGUUUUUUAAGUGUUUUGAGUCAAGUUAAAACUGAUUUUAGUCCAAAGUCAUUCCUAGUGUCUAGUUUGAGUCUAUUUAGUUGUUUUAAGCUGUUUUGAGUUAUUCUAGUUAGUUUUGAGUCUUUUCAGUUUGUUUUGAGUUCUUUGAGUCUAGUUAAGUGGUUUUAGCCUAGUUUUAUAUAUUUGAGUCAGUUUAGAGUGUUUUAGCAAUCCCUCCUAAUCCCCGGUUUAAGAAUGAUCCCUACUUACUUAUAUACUACAAUUGUCAAAAGAGGGUUUAAUUUAUGUGUUAAGUUAAUUUUCACAUCAAAGCCAACGCCAGAAAGUGUUCGAUAGGCUCGACCCUCAAGAAUGGACAGAUGGUCCUACCUCGACCAGACGGCGCCCUGACUUCGACACGUCAUUUUAUAACAAGGAUUAUUACUCGCGUAAUUCUAGCAGCUUAAGUUCAUUGACGAAUCAGAAAACCUUCGAACCGUCUGAACCACGCGACCAACAUUGGUACAAUUACAAUUCCCCCACUGGUAUGUAUAUUGCCCUAUCCAAGUCUAAAAAAUGUCGACGUCAAUGGAUAGAUUGCAUGGCUCGAGGAUAGGCAGCACAGGCUAUUCUAAGUACUAAAUGGCAGCCGAAAGAGGCAACAAGAAGCGACUAUGACUGACGUACCUCGACCAUCAUGGCCGAAUUACUUCAAGAGAUAAAGGCAGUUGAUCGUUUCGAGCAUUUCAAAAAAGAAGUUGAAAGCAAGCUUCCCACAUUGCCCCUGCAAGUUUCAUUAAUAAAGAUUCGGUGAAACCUGCACCCUCCAUUCCUCGACGAAUCCUUGGAGUAUAUGCGCGAAUUUCAUAAGGAACAUUCUACCAAUGACUUGUACGGCCUGCCCAAGGCAUGUCAAGAAGCCCUCGACCUGGAACUAACUUGCCCUGAUGCUGAUUAGAUUAUCCAGAAAACCACCGAUCCAGCAAUGAAAGCCGGGUUCUAGCACAUACAAGAAGCCAGGGUCCUUGGCUUUGAGGUCGAUCCAUACACGGACAUUGAUAUAGCCGAGCUUCAUUUCUCUCUUGACGACCUUCAAUAUUUACGACUCCACUUCCAAGUCUUUUCGACCAUAUCUCUCUUCGGUCUUACAGUCAAUGAAAAAGAUCGGGUGACGCGACUGGAUGCCUACCUAAACACAAGGGACGCCCGGAUCGCCUACGAGGAACGAGCUCGUAAGGCAUUGCAGGGGCAAAAUCAGACACCAGAAACGAAUGGGCUCGACGACAACAGUCAGAAGGAAGCAAGGUCAGGUUACAUGGAACAAGAGCAAAUACGUGUUGAUACAUACGAUAAUCAGGCCGAUAAUGUUUUAACGAUCGAUGCUGCAGUCCUCGAUAACUCAGAAGACGACGACCAGGAUCCAAUGGGCCCUUCAGUCCUUGAGAACAUGGAAAUCAGUAUGGUCCAUGUUUUACCUACUGAAUUCCAGCCAAUUACACACCAACCAAAUUUCUUGGAUGGUGAUGUGGUGGCUAAGGAAGCCACACAAGUUGAUUUCGUCACCAACACCGAAGAUGAGCAAGCAAAUAACAACGAAAAACUUAAAACAGCCCUGGCCAUAUUGUUUCCUCGUUCAUCCUCAGCUAACCUUCAACAUUUAAAGUCGUUGUAUGUCACGGCCCACAUUGAAGGUUACCCAAUCUCCAAAAUUUUCGUCGAUUGGGGGCGACGGUCAAUAUCAUGCCCGUAUCCGUCAUGAAAGCAUUACGAUGAUCCAACGACGAACUCAUCCCAUCAGGGAUAACCAUGAGCAACUUUGUCGAUGAUAAGUCUCCAAUCAAAGGAGUGCUCUCUUUAGAGGUAAACAUUGCAGGUUGCAAUCACAUGACCGCAUUUUUUAUUGUCGACUCUAAGACCGAAUAUAAUGCUUUGCUCAGUUAGGAUUGGAUCCAUCAAACAAAUUGCAUUCCCUCUUCCUUCUACCAAGUUCUGAAUUUUUGGGAUGGCAAAUAGGUUGUAGUCCACCCAGCCGAUAAUCAGCCAUUCGAAACCAACAUGAUUCAGGCCCACUAUUAUAACGAUCACGCCGGCUACAUUACCUUACAGGGUUUUAAUGAGGAUGGACGGCCGAUUCGAAUCUCAGUCCAGAAAGCCAUCGAAGUAGUGAUAGGAGCAUAUUUAUGCGCCUUAGUUUAGCUUGUUCUUGUGCAUUUAUAGUGUUUUUCCUUAGUAAAGUAGUCUUUUAAGCUAGUUUCUUGUGUUCUCAGGUUUUAAAGGCAUAUUACAUAAAAAGGAGCAAUUUGGAGCCUUUUGGAGCAAAAUGGAGCUUGGAUUGGAUAUCACAUAUUUGGAGCCAAGGGUUUGGACGAAAAUGAAGAUUUGAAAAUGAUGAUUCCUACUUGAGCAAGGAUUCCUAGUUGAAGUAGGAAAGACCCAAAUUGAAGAUGAAAUCCUAGUCCAAGAAGGUGUCCUAAUCAAUCAAUGAUUCCUAGUUGAAGAUGGAUUCCUAGACGAAUGAAGUUUCCUACUCAAACAAGGUUUCCUACUUGAAGUAGGAAAGUUAAAUCCAAAUGGCAUCAAGUUUCAGCAACAAAGAAGUUUUCCAAGUCCAAGAAGGAAAAGGUUUCCAAGAUGAAAAAGGAGAAGAAUUCCAAGUCAAGGGAGGAUUGAGACAUGUUUUCCUAAUGCGAGAAGGACUCCUAAGUGUUGUAGGACACAAAUGAGAAGUUUCUAGAGAGUUCCCCUCCUUGCCGUGAGUUUCCUACAUUUCCUAUCAGUUUUGGGGCUUUCUAGAAGCCCUAUCCCUAAUCCCUACAUUAAUGCCGCACCCUAGCUUCUAGAUACCCUAGUUUCUUGCCUUGCAAGGCAUUCUAGAAGACCUAUCCAUAUCCUAUAAUUCCUGCCGCACCCUUAUUCCUUUAUCCCUUAGGAUUUCUGAUUUUUAAGCCUAAUUCCUUGUGGAUUUGGGUUAUUCAAGUCCAUAUCUGAUUCCCCUAGGGUUUUAAGUGCCUAUAUAUACUCAUAUCAACCCCUAGAUCAGAUCACCACCUCUCACAUUCAUAAAUCACGCCAGAAAUCUGCCCUAGCCUUUGCCGCAGCCUUCCACCACCAUUCUCCCAAAUUUCUGCCUAAAAACAACCCUAGCCGCACCACCCAUCAACCAUAAAGCCUUCCCUACCAUUCCCCAUCCAUUUUACACCACAAAUAACCCCAAAAAACCUGUCUAAAGAUCUCUGCCGCAGCAAGGAGGAAGGAGGAUUCUUGGAUGCACUUGCUGCCACGUUGGAGCAUUCUAGGUGUUUUCUUUCCUUUGAUUUUAAUGUCUAAAUUUAUGUAUCUUUGCUUUGCGAGUAUGAGGAACUAAACCCCCCCUUGGCUAGGGGGGGAUACUAAACCCCCCUUGGCUAGGGGGGAUUCGAAAUACAUGUUUAUGCUUGCGAUAUGAUUUGAUUACUUCUAAUUGCGUUUCAUAAGUUGUGAAUUCAAUUUACUUAUCUAUGUGAAUUACAUUGAUUUAUGUGUGUUAGUUGAGAGUGCACGCUUAAUUAUCAUGCAUAAAUUGAAUGCUAGGAUAUAAGCAAAUUUCACCUAAUCGUUAUGGACUUAUAUUCACAAGUAGUAAAGGUUGAUGAUCUCAAUCGCGUUAAGUAAAUUCUUGGCAUAAGUUUCAUGCAAUCAUAGUAACAAGUGCUUCGUCAAUGCUUAUGGUUUUCAUAGAACUUAAUGAUUCUUGCUUGUAUCUCUAUUAUGCAAUCAUGUAGGGGACUUGUGGGGAAUGCUUUGGGUUGUCGUAUGUAAUCAUCCAAUUCAAUAACGUUAGGAAAAUCUGAAGGUUAAUUUAAGCGGACCUAAUUAACUUGGGGCGUUGAGAAUUCAUGGGUUAUUGAAAAGCAAUUGGAAAUCGUUUUGAAUGCAAGUAUAACAUGUGUGGAGAUGAACCCCUUAGCUAGCCUUCCAUCCAUUCAUUUAAACCAAAUUCGUUUUAAAAUCUGUUCGUUUUACAAAGUUUUGUUUUGUUUUCAAAUUCGUCCAAAAUCAAUCAGCCUUUUCUUUGUUGAGUCAUAUUAGUUAGAAGUCAAGUUAGUUUGUGUUUUUAAGUGUUUUGAGUCAAGUUAAAACCUAAUUUCGUCCAAGUUUGUGUCUAGUGUUCAAAACUGCCCAGAUUGUGUUUUUAAGGUAGUUUUGAGUGUUUUGGUGCUGUUUUGAGUCUUUUGGUUUGUUUUGGUAUUUUAAAGUUUAGCUUUGCAUUCUUUGAGUCUAGUUUAGUGUUUCAAACUUGUUUUUACGUAAUUGAGUCAGUUUUCAAGUGAUUUUGCAAUCCCUCAUAAUCCCCGGCCUAGAACGAUCCCUACUUACAUACUUACUACAAUUGAUAAAAAGAGGGUUAAUUUGAGUCCUAGUUAAUAUCAUAUCAAAUUUUGGCGCCGUUGCCGGGGAUUAGCAACUUUGAUAAUCCCUUGGAUUGUUAUUUUCGUUUUUCUUAUUAGAUCAGAUUCUUAUGUUAUUUUGUUUCUUGUUUUAGGUACUUGUUUAUGACUCGGAGUUCUAAUCCGGUUCACGAACAUAUUUUAGACUUUGACGACGAUUUUGAGCGUGAGUUGAGACGAAAGAGGAAGAACCCGGAACCUAGUGAAUCAAGUGCAAGUUUCAAGUCCGUUUCUGAAAUUGAAGAGGAAGUGGAAGACAUGGCAGUGGACAACCGAACGAUCAAGGAGCUUUCCGCUUCGGGAUUGGAUAAUGCCGCACCUCUAUGUAUCCAAUACCCUAGGGCGGCUCCAGACAAAACUGCCGAGUUCGAAUUGAAGUCAAGCUUGUUACAUCACAUUGAUAGGAGCAUAUUUAUGCGACUUAGUUGGCUUGUUCUUAAGCAUUUAUGUUGUUUUUCUUUAGUUAUUUUAGUGUUUAAAGUCAUUUUCGUGCAAUUUCAAGUUUAGAGACGAAGUAUGCAAAGAAGUGCAAAAUGGAGCAUUUUAGAGCAAAAUUGAGCUGGAAUGGAGUGUAUGCUAAUGGAGCACAAGGAAUGGACGAGUUUGAAGGUCAAAGGAGCUUAAGAAAUGAAGAAAUGAAAGUGAAGAACAAAGAAUUCAGAUUUGGAAACCAAAGUUUCUAAAGUUGGAAGUUUCUAUUCUUGGAGGUUUCCAUUUUCGAGAGUUUCUAUUCUUGGCUUUGGGCUUUUAGAUGACCUAAACCCUAAUUCCUUGUGGACCCUAACCCAAGCCGCACCUAGGCCUCUAGAAUAUCUGAUUUCCUUGCCUUGCAAGGCAUUCUAGAAGGCCCAUCUCUAAACCCUAACCCUAGCCGCACCUUAGGCCUUAUUCCCACUAAAAAUCUGAUUGUUUUAACCUAAUUUCUGGUGGAUUUGGGCUUCUAGAAACCCUAAUCUGAUUACCCUAGGGUUUUGGAUGCCUAUAUAUACUCAUUAUAACCCCUAGAUCAGAUCAUCAUCUCCCAUACACAAUCAUUCACGCCAGAAAUCUGCCCUUGAUUUCUGCCGCACCUUUCCAUCACCAAAGUCCCAAAAUUCUGCCCAAAAUCAUCCCUAGCCGUACCCCCAUCAACCCUAAACCUUUCCAUACCAUUCCCCAUCCAUUCUACAUCACAAAUAACCCCAAAAACCUGUUCUAAAGUUCUCUGCCGCAGCAAGGAGGAAGGAGAAUUCGUUGAUGAGCUUGCUGCCAAGUUGGAGCGUUCUAGGUGUUUUCUUUCUUUGAAUUUUAAUUUCUAAAUUUAUGUAUCUUUGCUUUGCGAGUAUGAGGAACUAAACCCCCCCUUGGCUAGGGGGGGAUUCGAAAUACAUGUUUAUGCUUGCGAUAUGAUUUGAUUACUUCUAAUUGCGUUUCAUAAGUUGUGAAUUCAAUUUACUUAUCUAUGUGAAUUACAUUGAUUUGUGUGUGUUGGUUGAGAGUGCACGCUUAAUUAUCAUGCAUAAAUUGAAUGCUAGGAUAUAAGGAAAUUUCACCUAAUCGUUAUGGACUUAUAUUCACAAGUAGUAAAGGUUGAUGAUCUCAAUCGCGUUAAGUAAAUUCUUGGCAUAAGUUUCAUGCAAUCAUAGUAACAAGUGCUUCGUCAAUGCUUAUGGUUUUCAUAGAACUUAAUGAUUCUUGCUUGUAUCUCUAUUAUGCAAUCAUGUAGGGGACUUGUGGGGAAUGCUUUGGGUUGUCGUAUGCAAUCAUCCAAUUCAAUAACGUUAGGAAAAUCUGAAGGUUAAUUUAAGCGGACCUAAUUAACUUGGGGUGUUGAGAAUUCAUGGUUUAUUGAAAAGCAAUUGGAAAUCGUUUUAUAUGCAAGUGUAACAUGUGUGGAGAUGAACCCCUUAGCUAGCCUUCCAUUCACCCAUUUAAAUCAAAUUCGUUUUUACAAUCUGUUCGUUUUACAAAGUUUUGUUUUGUUUUCAAUUUCGUCCAAAAUCAAUCCCCCUUUUCUUUGUUUAGUCAUAUUAGUUAGAAGUCAAGUUAGUUUGUGUUUUUACGUAUUUGAGUCAGUUUUCAAGUGAUUUUGCAAUCCCUCCUAAUCCCCGGCCUAGAACGAUCCCUACUUACAUACUUACUACAAUUGAUAAAAAGAGGGUUAAUUUAAAUGCUAGUUAAUUUUCACAUCACACAUUCCAAAGUACCAUGGGCUGUCCAUGGAAGAUCCGAACAAGCACUUGAAGGAGUUUGAAGUCGUUUGCUCAAGCAUGACUCCGGUGAACGUGGAUGAGAGCAUCUUGAAGAUGGAGGCCUUUCCCUUUUCUCUCCUAGAGAAGGCGAAAGAUUGGUUGUACGAAUUGGCUCCCGGAACUGUCACAUCAUGGGAGAGCAUGAAACGAGCUUUCUUAGAGAAGUUUUUCCCAACUUCUCGAGUCAUCCUCCUACGCAAAAGGAUAAGUGGCAUUCAACAAGAUGGAGGUGAAUCCUUUCCUACUUAUUAUGAACGUUUUAAAUCUCUUGUUGCUUCAUGUCCACAGCAUCAAAUGAAGGAGGAACUACUUCUACAAUACUUCUACGAGGGACUUCUACCAAUUGAACGUCAAAUGCUAGAUGCCUCAGCGGGAGGAGCAUUGGUGGACAAGACCCCUACGGCUGCAAAGAUGUUGAUUGCUAAUCGAGCGUUGAACGCUCAACAAUACGAAGGUGUUGGACAAAGGAGCAUGCCACGGCAACAUCAAGUCAAUGAGGUAAGUGCCAUAACUGAACUUCAAAAUCAAAUGGCUAACCUUACUACGUUGCUUUCUCAGGUGAUGGAAGGUCCAAAAGUCAAAACCGUAGCUUCUUGUGGCGUAUGCUCCAUGCAAAACCACCAUACGGACAAGUGCCCACAAUUGAUCGAGAAUGGAGGGUGGGAGACCUUCAAUGUCGUGGGUUUGGGCAGCAAUACCAACAAAGGAGUGAUCCCUUUUCUAAUACCUACAAUCCCGGUUGGCGUGAUCAUCCAAAUUUCAAAUGGCGAGAACCCCAACAAGGCCAACAACAAAGCGGAUUUAGGCAACAACCCCUGGGUUUCUAUCAAAAGCAGUUUGCACCUACACAACCUCAAGCACAACCUACCCAAACCAAUUCAGGUUCAUCCAUUGAUAAUGAUCAGAUUUUUCAAUUACUAACUUCUAUGGCGCAGGGUAUGCAAAAUAGAGACAAAAGGAUGGAUGAGUUGGAGAAGCAAGUAGGGCAGAUUGCGGAGUUCAUGGGCCAAUUUUGAGAGCAAGGUAAGUUGCCAAGUUCAACUGUUGUCAAUCCGAGGGGAGGAGUCAAAACUGCCAAGGCUAUCACACUAAGAAGUGGGAAAGAAGUAGGAACCGAGCCAAAACCAUCCAAAUCUGCCCUCAAGGAGACGAGAAGUUGCAAAUAGAAGAGGAGGAGCAAGCAAAGGCCACGGCAAGGAUUGAGCAAUCCUUGCCGCAACCACCCAAGCCAUCCAAUUCGGCCAAUAAAGGUAAGGCAGGUACAAUUCAAGUUAAUUCUAAUGUUAUUCCUCCGGAUGUACGCUUUCCUAGCAGAUUUUUGCAAGCCAAGAACGAAGAAGAGGAACAAGACGUUCUUGAGACGUUUAUAAAGGUGCAUGUCAAUAUCCCUCUCCUCGAUGCUAUAAAGCAAAUCCCGAAGUAUGCCAAGUUUUUGAAGAAGCUUUGUACAACAAGGAAACGGAUUCGGGAGAAAGAGGUGGUACACGUAAGUGAGAAUGUAUCUGCAUUGUUGCAAAGAAAGUUACCACCUAAAUGUAAAGAUCCAGGUAGUUUCACGAUCCCUUGUGUUAUUGGCAAUACGAGGUUUGAUCAUGCUAUGUGAGAUUUAGGUGCAUCUAUAAAUGUCAUGCCAUAUUCUGUUUAUGCAUCUAUGAAUCUAGGGAAGCUUAAAAAUGAUGGUGUUAUUAUUCAAUUAGCCGAUCGAUCUAAUGCAUAUCCCAAAGGAGUGUUGGAAGAUGUGUUGGUGCAGGUAGACCACUUGAUUUUUCCUGCAGAUUUCUAUGUGCUUGAUAUGGAGGACUCAACCCACUCUCCACCAUCACCACUCUUACUUGGACGACCAUUCAUGAAAACGGCUCAAACCAAGAUUGACGUGGCCAAGGGAGCAGUAACUAUGGCCUUUGGUGGUGAUAUGAUUAACUUUAAUAUUUCUGAAUCGGUUGAGAAUACUAAUGAUGUUCGUUCUUGUUGUGCUAUUAACGUAAUUGAAAAUAUAGGGCAGGAAUGUUCAACACUAGUCAAGAAGAAUGUACCACAACCCACCAUCGAGGAAGGAAUUGGAGUGAACAACAAAGAGUGCACGGCCCUAACCUUGAAAUCACCAAAUCUGGCCGAGUGCACCCCUUGUGCAUCUGUCCAUAGUGCUACCACUUCUUUACCGUACAAAGGUAAGCCACCUAUUCCAAUUUCGAUUCCCAUUUCAACUAAUAGGUUGCUACCUUGUAUGGUACAGGUACCUAAUCGAAGUCAACGUGGUGGGAGAGUUUGUGUUGAUUUAGAGAAGCAAAACACGACAAUCAGAAAGGAUCAUUAUCCCAUCCCAUUCAAGGACCCAAAGAAUGAAGUAUUUCGUAGGACAGGUAGUGGAAAAACCCCUCCAUGCCGUGGGGUACCAUAAACCUUCAAUGGAGCAUCGUCCGGCUGCAACACGUUAAAGAAAGCGCUACUUGGGAGGCAACCCAUGCAUUCGACAAAGGAAGACCUAGAGAGCACUCCAAUUCCAGAUUUGCGUUCCUAAACCCUUCUCUUUGUUGUUAUUUCGUUUCUGCCAUGUUAGAUUGUUUAGUUGCUGUUUUCUUUGUUUGUUGGUUAUUAGUGUUAGUUUAUGCUUGAAACAUUGAGGACAAUGUUUGAUUUAAGUGUGGGGGGGUAACCAAAGUGUUUUGAUACAAAUUCGUAGGGUUUUAUCACCCAUAAUUUCAAAUGUUGUUCCUUACUAUUUUUAGGUGUUUUUAGACUGUUUUGGUGUGUUUUAGUGUAUUUUGACAUAAAAAUUCGAAAAUCCCAUAAAAAUUUGAAAAAAAUGUUUUGAAAAACCCAAAAAGAGUCAUUUUAAAGUUGUUUGUGUGUUUGUUUGUGUCUUAGGGUACAUUCCAACACAAUGAUGAGGAUUCGGUUUUUAAUUGCAUGACUGUUUGAUAGAAACCCGGAGGUUGUUGCCUAAAUGUGCUUUGUUGUUGGCCUUGUUGAGGGUCUCGCCAUUUGAAAUUCGGAUGAUCACGCCAACCGGGAUUGUAAGUAUUAGAAAAAGGGUCAUUCCUCGGUUGGUAUUGGUUGCCAAAACCCACGGCAUUGAGGGUCUCCCACCCUCCAUUCUCAAUCAAUUGUGGGCACUUGUCCGUAGGGUGUCCUUGCAUGGAACAUACGCCACACGCACUUACAUUUUGAACUUUUGGCCCUUCCACAACCUGAGAAAGCAAAGUAGUAAGGUUAGCCAUUUGAUUUUGAAGUUCGGUUAUGGCACUUACCUCAUUCACUUGGUGUUGCCGUGUGGUGCCUCUUUGUCCAACACCUUCGUAUUGUUGAGCGUUCAACGCUCGAUUGGCAAUCAAAGUCUUUGCUGCCAUGGGGGUCUUGUCCACCAACGCUCCUCCUGCCGAGGCAUCUAGCAUUUGUCGUUCGAUUGGUAGAAGUCCCUCGUAGAAGUAUUGCAGAAGAAGCUCCUCUUUCAUUUGAUGCUGUGGACAAGAAGCAACAAGAGAUUUAAAACGUUCAUAGUAUGUAGGAAAAGACUCACCUUCUUCUUGUUGAAUUCCACUUAUCCUUUUUCGUAGGAGAAUAACUCGAGAAGUUGGAAAAAACUUCUCCAAGAAAGCUCGUUUCAUGCUCUCCCAUGAUGUGACAGUUCCGGGAGCCAAUUCGUACAACCAAUCUUUCGCCUUCUCUAGGAGAGAAAAGGGAAAGGCCUUCAUCUUCAAGAUGCUUUCAUCCACGUUCACCGGAGUCAUGCUUGAGCAAACGACUUUAAAUUCCUUCAAGUGCUUGUUCGGAUCUUCCAUGGACAGCCCAUGGUACUUCGGAAUGUGAUGUAACAAGCUUGACUUCAAUUCGAACUCGGCAGUUUUGUCCGGAGCCGCCCUAGGGUAUUGGAUACAUAGAGGUGCGGCAUUGUCCAAUCCCGAAGCGGAAAGCUCCUUGAUCGUUCAGUUGUCCACUGCCAUGUCUUCCACUUCCUCUUCAAAUUCAGAAACGAACUCGGAACUUGCACUUGAUUCACUAGGUUCCGGGUUCUUCCUCUUUCGUCUCAACUCACGCUCAAAAUCAUCGUCAAAGUCUAAAAUAUGUUCGUGAACCGGAUUAGAACUCCGAGUCAUAAACAAGUACCCAAAACAAGAAACAAAAUAACAAAAGAAUCUGAUCUAAUAAGAAAAACGAAAAUAACAAUCCAAGGGAUUAGCAAAGUUGCUAAUCCCCGGCAACGGAGCCAAAAUUUGAUGUGAAAAUUAUGUUGACACACAAAUUAACCCUCUUUUUAUCAAUUGUAGCAAUGUAUGUAAGUAGGGAUCGUUCUAGACCGGGGAUUAGGAGGGAUUGCAAAAUCACUUGGACAUGACUCAAAAACGUAAAAACAAGUUUUAAACACUAAAAUAGACUCAAAGAAUGCAAAACUAAACUUUAAAACACCAAAACAAACCAAAAGACUCAAAACAGCACCAAAACACUCAAAACUGCCUUAAAAAACACAAUCUGGGCAGUUUUGGACACUAAGCACCAAAUUGGACGAAAUUGGGUUUUAACUUGAAUCAAAACACUUAAAAACACAAAGUAAAACACUUACUAACUAAUUUGACACUUUAAAACAAAGGGGGAUUGGUUUUGGCCGAAUUUAAAAACAAAACAAACUUUGUAAAUUAGAACAGAUUGUAAAAACGAAUUUGAUUUAAAUGGGUGAAUGGAAGGCUAGCUAAGGGGUUCAUCUCCACACAUGUUAUACUUGCAUACGAAACGAUUUCCAAUUGCUUUUCAACAAACCAUGAAUUCUCAAUGCCCCAAGUUAAUUAGGUCCGCUUAAAUUAACCUUCAGAUUUUCCUAACGUUAUUGAAUUGGAUGAUUGCAUACGACAACCCAAAACAUUCCCCACAAGUCCCCUACAUGAUUGCAUAAUAGAGAUACAAGCAAGAAUCAUUAAGUUCUAUGAAAACCAUAAGCAUUGACGAAGCACUUGUUACUAUGAUUGCAUGAAACUUAUGCCAAGAAUUUACUUAACGCGAUUGAGAUCAUCAACCUUUACUACCUGUGAAUAUAAUUCCAUAACGAUUAGGUGAAAUUUCCUUAUAUCCUAGCAUUCAAUUUAUGCAUGAUAAUUAAGCGUGCACUCUCAACCAACACACACAAAUCAAUGUAAUCCACAUAGAUAAGUAAAUUGAAUUCACAACUUAUGAAACGCAAUUAGAAGUAAUCAAAUCAUAACGCAAACAUAAACAUGUAUUUCGAAUCCCCCCCUAGCCAAGGGGGGGUUUAGUUCCUCAUACGCACAAAACAAAGAGAAUUGAAUUUAAACAUUGAAAUCAAAGGAAAAGAAACACCUAGAAAUUCCAGCGACACGAACUUGAAUUGCAUGAACUUCCGAGCUUCCUUCUCCUCCUCCUUGGUGCGGCAAAGGACUUUGGACAGGUUCUUUGGGGUUAUGGAUGGUGUAGAAGGGUUAUGGAUGGAUGUAGUAGUGUUUAGGGGAAGGGAAUGGUGCGGCAAAGGUGUGGAGAGAGUUUGGACGAAUUUCUGGAGUGAUUUAUGAAUUGUGGUGAGUGGUCAUCUGAUUUAGGGGUUAAUAGGAGUAUAUAUAGGCACUUAAAACCCUAGGGUAAUCAGAUAUGGACUUGGAUAACCCAAAUCCACAAGGAAAUAGGUCUAAACAAUCAGAUUUUGCAAGGGAAAAGGGGUCCUAGGUGCGGCAGGGAUAGGAUAAGGUGAUAAGGUUUCUAGAAUGCCUUGCAAGGCAAGGAACUAGGCAUCUAGAAGCUAGGGUGCGGCACCAAUGUAGGGAUUUAAGGAUAGGGCUUCUAGAAAGCCCCAAAACUGAUAGGAAUUGCAUGAAACCCACGGCAAGGAUGUAAACUUUCUAGAAACUUCUCAUUUGUGUCCUACAACACUUUGGAGUCCUUCUAGCAUUAGGAAAACAUGUCUCAAUCCUCCCUUGACUUGGAAUUCUUCUCCUUCUUCAUCUUGGAUUCCUUUUCCUUCUUGGACUUGGAAAACUUCUUUGUUGCUGAAACUUGAUGCCAUUUGGAUUUAACUUUCCUACUUCAAGUAGGAAACCUUGUUUGAGUAGGAAUCUUCAUCUUCAAGGAAUCCUAAUUCAACUAGGAAACCCAUCUUGACUAGGAAUCCUAAUUCAACUAGGAUUCCAUCUUCACUUAGGCGCUUUCCUACUUCGACUAGGAAACCUUGUUCAAGUAGGAAACAUCAUCUUCAAAUCUUCAAUUUCGUCCAUCCUCUUGGCUCCAAGCAUAUGACAUUCAUUCCAAGCUCAACUUUGCUCCAAAAGGCUCCAAAAUGCAUCCUUUUGCAUACUUUGCCCUUAGAACCUGAAAACACAUAAAACUAGCUUAAAAGACUUCUUUACUAAGCAAAAACACUAUAAAUGUACAAGAACAAGCUAAACUAAGGCGCAUAAAUAUGCUCCUAUCACUGUUAAAGAGAGUUGUAAACAUGGAUGAAGUUUGAUUUACUCUUUGGUUUAUGCUUGGUUGUGGUUAUAACUUAUGAAUUCACAUGUAAUCAUAAAGAAAAAAAUUAGUUUUUGUAACAUGCUUGAAGGAAGGAACUCAAACAAACGCUACAACCUUGUGAGACUUGAGCCUAAAUGUUUAUUUGGAGAGUUAAAAUCUGUGCAUUCUUUUUUUUCUAAAGUCGUUGCAUGAUCUCAUUAUUCUUUGUUUGGUUACUACUUAGAAGGCGUUUCAUCAUUUAGUUCCAAACACUAGAACUCAUGCCAAUGUCAUUCAAAACAUGUUAUUGAAUUGCAUAACACAUAUUCAAGAUGAAGUUGUUUAGUAGUUACCACCAUAGCCAAAAAGCCUUCAUUCCAUGCAUUUGUUUUUGUAGGUUUAACCCCGUUGAGCCUUGUUUAGCCUAUGUUGUUUGUUAACCCACAUUAUCCUUACCUAGCCUAGAUUAGGACCAUCCAUACUUUGUUCUUGAAGCAUAGUAAUGAAUGACUCAAAAUGAAUUCCUUUUGGUCAUUAUUGGCAGAAAACAAGUGUGGGGGAAGUGAGUUUUGUUGUGGGUGUGCCAAAGUCUUGAAUGAGGCAUGAAAAAGAAAGAAAAAAUAAAAUGAAAUUCGUGGAAAAAAAAGAAAAGAAAAAAAAAAAAAAUGUGAAAAGUAUGAAAAAGGAGUUGAAAAGAUGUGAAAAAGAGUUCUAAAGUGUUGAUUGUUGAAGAAAGGGUCCAAAAAGUUGAAUUCGGCCCUAAUUGUUGUUGAAUCUUCCCUUUGUGUUUAAAAGUUAAUUUCUGCAUGCUAAUGGGAAUUCUGAGUACGAUUUCAUUGUUUUGCUUACUAUUGCUUUAAGAACGUUUGUUUUCCCUAUUCUUUCGUUGUUAGCCAACUCCCCUAGCCCCGUUACAACCCUUGACUUUAAAUCUUGAGUGUUGUGUGUUUCAAUUUGUGGAGUUUGAGUUUGGUAUGUGCAUAUGGUGUCACUGGUUCUGGCAUCUAAGUAGUAGCAAUCCAUUCAUGAGAUCAUAUCUAAACAUGUCAUUUACUCCGGAAAAUGCUUUUCUUGUUAUACAUAUAUGUGAGCAUUCGUUUUCAUAUUUACAUCAAUCUUCUCACAUAUAACUAGUAUAGGGUGUGUAGUUAGAAAAUCUGAGUGAAAAUUGAGUGCAUAUCUUGUAAGGAAUUGAGUGAUUUCUCUAAGGCAUGUUACUACAUUCAAAACAUUGUUUAAAUUGGUUAAUUGUGAACUAGUAAGUGGUGACUAUGAUUAAGUAUGUGCUUAAGUAAAGAUGACUCAAAUCUGUGGGAAUGAUGAUUUUUAACAUGUCAUGUGCAUUGGAAAUCCCUGAGGCGAUUGUUGGAAGGUUUAGGUUGUGUUUUACUCGUUUUGCUUCGUUUGUUUACUUUGUUUCGUUUUGUUUUGCUCGAGGACUAGCAAAAGCUAAGUGUGGGGGAAUUUGAUAGGAGCAUAUUUAUGCGCCUUAGUUUAGCUUGUUCUUGUGCAUUUAUAGUGUUUUUCCUUAGUAAAGUAGUCUUUUAAGCUAGUUUCUUGUGUUCUCAGGUUUUAAAGGCAUAUUACAUAAAAAGGAGCAAUUUGGAGCCUUUUGGAGCAAAAUGGAGCUUGGAUUGGAUAUCACAUAUUUGGAGCCAAGGGUUUGGACGAAAAUGAAGAUUUGAAAAUGAUGAUUCCUACUUGAGCAAGGAUUCCUAGUUGAAGUAGGAAAGACCCAAAUUGAAGAUGAAAUCCUAGUCCAAGAAGGUGUCCUAAUCAAUCAAGGAUUCCUAGUUGAAGAUGGAUUCCUAGACGAAUGAAGUUUCCUACUCAAACAAGGUUUCCUACUUGAAGUAGGAAAGUUAAAUCCAAAUGGCAUCAAGUUUCAGCAACAAAGAAGUUUUCCAAGUCCAAGAAGGAAAAGGUUUCCAAGAUGAAGAAGGAGAAGAAUUCCAAGUCAAGGGAGGAUUGAGACAUGUUUUCCUAAUGCGAGAAGGACUCCUAAGUGUUGUAGGACACAAAUGAGAAGUUUCUAGAGAGUUCCCCUCCUUGCCGUGAGUUUCCUACAUUUCCUAUCAGUUUUGGGGCUUUCUAGAAGCCCUAUCCCUAAUCCCUACAUUAAUGCCGCACCCUAGCUUCUAGAUACCCUAGUUUCUUGCCUUGCAAGGCAUUCUAGAAGACCUAUCCAUAUCCUAUAAUUCCUGCCGCACCCUUAUUCCCUUAUCCCUUAGGAUUUCUGAUUUUUAAGCCUAAUUCCUUGUGGAUUUGGGUUAUUCAAGUCCAUAUCUGAUUCCCCUAGGGUUUUAAGUGCCUAUAUAUACUCAUAUCAACCCCUAGAUCAAAUCACCACCUCUCACAUUCAUAAAUCACGCCAGAAAUCUGCCCUAGCCUUUGCCGCAGCCUUCCACCACCAUUCUCCCAAAUUUCUGCCUAAAAACAACCCUAGCCGCACCACCCAUCAACCCUAAAGCCUUCCCUACCAUUCCCCAUCCAUUCUACACCACAAAUAACCCUAAAAAACCUGUCUAAAGAUCUUUGCCGCAGCAAGGAGGAAGGAGGAUUCUUGGAUGCACUUGCUGCCACGUUGGAGCAUUCUAGGUGUUUUCUUUCCUUUGAUUUUAAUGUCUAAAUUUAUGUAUCUUUGCUUUGCGAGUAUGAGGAACUAAACCCCCCUUGGCUAGGGGGGAUUCGAAAUACAUGUUUAUGCUUGCGAUAUGAUUUGAUUACUUCUAAUUGCGUUUCAUAAGUUGUGAAUUCAAUUUACUUAUCUAUGUGAAUUACAUUGAUUUGUGUGUGUUAGUUGAGAGUGCACGCUUAAUUAUCAUGCAUAAAUUGAAUGCUAGGAUAUAAGGAAAUUUCACCUAAUCGUUAUGGACUUAUAUUCACAGGUAGUAAAGGUUGAUGAUGUCAAUCGCGUUAAGUAAAUUCUUGGCAUAAGUUUCAUGCAAUCAUAGUAACAAGUGCUUCGUCAAUGCUUAUGGUUUUCAUAGAACUUAAUGAUUCUUGCUUGUAUCUCUAUUAUGCAAUCAUGUAGGGGACUUGUGGGGAAUGCUUUGGGUUGUCGUAUGCAAUCAUCCAAUUCAAUAACGUUAGGAAAAUCUGAAGGUUAAUUUAAGCGGACCUAAUUAACUUGGGGCGUUGAGAAUUUAUGGGUUAUUGAAAAGCAAUUGGAAAUCGUUUUGAAUGCAAGUAUAACAUGUGUGGAGAUGAACCCCUUAGCUAGCCUUCUAUCCAUUCAUUUAAACCAAAUUCGUUUUAAAAUCUGUUCGUUUUACAAAGUUUUGUUUUGUUUUCAAAUUCGUCCAAAAUCAAUCCCCCUUUUCUUUGUUGAGUCAUAUUAGUUAGAAGUCAAGUUAGUUUGUGUUUUUAAGUGUUUUAAGUCAAGUCAAAACCUAAUUUCAUCCAAGUUUGUGUCUAGUGUUCAAAACUGCCCAGAUUGUGUUUUUAAGGCAGUUUUGAGUGUUUUGGUGCUGUUUUGAGUCUUUUGGUUUGUUUUGGUAUUUUAAAGUUUAGCUUUGCAUUCUUUGAGUCUAGUUUAGUGUUUCAAACUUGUUUUUACGUAAUUGAGUCAGUUUUCAAGUGAUUUUGCAAUCCCUCCUAAUCCCCGGCCUAGAACGAUCCCUACUUAUGUACUUACUACAAUUGAUAAAAAGAGGGUUAAUUUGAGUGCUAGUUAAUAUCAUAUCAAGUAGGUGCCGAGAUUGUACAUCAGGAUUCGACAUGACUCGGCAUGGCCGAAUUAAUUACCUACAUUGAUGACUGACGCCACAAGAGAAAGGCAUCGGGUCGUGGUUUCAUCCACAAUGGAACGUCUGCUGGCUCAUUGGUAUGCUAUUUCUAAGCAUCCACGAUCGGGCAUCAACUUAAUCGAAUUUUUGGCUGAGGAAGAUAACGGCCCUAUAUUAUCAUUAGAUAAAGUUCAGGCCGCACCGGCCGAACUCGAAGAUAGUCGACCCCAAGUUAAGGACCCCUUAGAAGAAAUAAAUGUUGUAACGACCGAUGCCCCUCGACCGUUAUUUAUUAAUGCAUUGUUACCCCAUUCUAUGAAAGUCGAACUCUAUCUUUAAAGAUUGUUUUGCUUGGAGUUAUCAUGAGAUGCCGAGCCUUGAUCGAACCCUUGUUGAACAUGAAGUACGCAUCAAAGCUAGUUGUAAGCCUUUCUGCCAGUCCUCUUGUCGAUUCUCGAUCGAAGUACAACUCGGCAUAAAAGACGAACUAGUUCGACUUUUAAAAGCCAGGUUUAUUCAGACUGCUUGAUAUGUCGAGGGCUGGCUAAUAUCGUCCCAGUGCUAAAGAAAAAUGGCACCAUACGCAUCUGUAUUGAUUUUCGUAAUCGGAACUUGGCAACACCUAAAGAUGAAUACCCGAUGCCUAUCUCCGACUUGUUAAUUGACGCCGUAGCACAUCACGAGAUCUUAUCCUUUAUGGAUGGGCAUGCUGGUUAUAACUAGAUUUUCAUCGUCGAAGCUGAUGUCCAUAAGAUCAUUUUUUGUUGCCCCGGGGUGGCACAUACGAAUGGGUCGUCAUGCCCUUUGGCCCCAAGAACGCCGAUGCCACGUACCAACGAACUAUGAACACUAUUUUCCAUGAUUUAAUUGGUACCAUCGUUGAUGUAUACAUCGACGAAGUGGUCAUCAAAUCAGCACGCCGGCAGACGCAUUUGGAUGACCUCCGUCAAGCAUUCCUGCGCAUGUGCUGGCACAAUCCUAAGAUAAACCCCGCCAAAUGUGCUUUCAGCGUAUUAGCUGGAAAUUUUUUAGGCUUCCUUGUACAUCAUCAUGGUAUUGAGGUGGAUGACAAUAAGGCUCGCACAAUCAUUAAUGCUCCACCCCCGACGACUAAGAACCAAUUACAAUCGUUGCUCAGCAAGAUCAACUUUCUCCGACGAUUUAUUGCUAAUUCGGCCGGGAAAAUGAAAGCCUUCUCCACGCUUUUAAAACUUAAGGACUUCGACACCUUCGAAUGACGUGCUGAGCACUAAGAGGCAUUUACGCAGAUCAUGGUCUCUUUAACGACUCCACCCAUCCUUGUCCACCACAAUAGGGCUGACCUUUUAAGCUAUAUAUCUCGGCGGUCGAAGAAUCCAUCGGAUACCUUCUUGCACAAGACAAUGACGUUGGGCGAGAACAGGCCAUUUUUUACCUUAGUCGAAACCUCAACCCACCAGAGAUUAAUUACUCCGCUGUCGAGAAGCUUUAUCUCGCCCUAUUUUUCAUCGCGUUAAAACUCAGACAUUACAUGCUCCCGUUAGUCACUCAGGUCAUCACCUAAACUGAUGUCAUUCGUUACAUGCUCACUCGGCCGAUCGUAAAGGGCUGAAUCGACAAGUGGACGAUUGCCCUUUCUGAGUUCAGCUUGCAAUAUGUGCCCCAGAAAGCUAUCAAAGGUCAAGCUCUGGCCGAUUUUCUGGCCCAACACCCUUCCCCGUAUGAGUUCAGGGGCAAUGACGUUGACAUCGGCCUGGUACAAACACGUGAUAAUUACUGGACGAUGUAUGAUAGGAGCAUAUUUAUGCGACUUAGUUAGCUUGUUUUCUUGCAUUUUCAUAGCUAGUUUCUACUUAUUAUAGUGUUUUAAGCUAUUUUCAUGUGUUUGUAGGUCCAAAUGACAAAGUUGGCAAGAAUGUGCAUUUUAGAGCAUUUUAGAGCAGUUUUGGGCAAAGAAUGGAUAAGACAUGCAUGGAGCAAGGUGGAUGGACGUUUUUGAAGUUCAAGAGGCUAGGAAUAUGCUAAGGAGUUGAAGAAGAUAAAUCCAAGACAAAGAAGAUAAGGAAUCAGCUCAAAAGAAGGAAACAUUAUCCAAAACCUUAUCCAACCUUAUCUUAUCUAGUCUUAUCUUCUCUUAUCCCAUAUGAUCCAAACAUUAUCCUAUUUAAUCCAACAUUAUCUAAACUUAUCUCCAGCUGCAAAAGGAAUCCUUAUCCUAUUCUAAAUCCUUCCCAUCUGAAUUUAGGAGUCCCAAUCUAUCUAAACACAUUAAUUCUUUUCCCCCUAGGAAUCUGCUAUGCAAAUCCUUCUCCUCUACAACCUUUGUGCCGUACCUUAGGCCUAUAAAUACAUAUUUAUCACCACAAUUUCAUGGACCACACAUACAAGAGCCAAAACAUCAUAAAAUACAUACUUGUGCGCAUAUUUGCAAGGAAGGAAAGAGAGGAGACCCUUGGAGUCGAAUCUGCCAUUGCUGGAGCGUUUCUAGGUGUAUUUUAUCCUUAGAUUUGUUUGAAUGUUGGUUUUAAUUUGGUUUUAUGUUUUUAAAGACAUGAGGAACUAAUCUCUUUUUAGUUAGGGCUGAAUUUGAAGCCAUGAUUAUAUGUUUUAUAUGAAUUGAUUACAUCCAGUUUUGUGUUUUUGUGUCUAGUUGAGUGUUUUUAAGUCUAGUUUGGUAUUUUUUAGUCAUAUUUGUGUAGAUUAGCAGCCUUAGCUAAUCCCCGAUCUAGAAUGAUCCCUACUUACAUCUUUGCUACAAUUGUCAACAAUAGGAUUUAAUUUGUGUGUCAAGUUAAUUUUCACAUCAAUGUACUUUGAUGGUUCUAGUACUUCAGUCUCGGCUGGCGUUGGGAUCGUUAUUCAAUCCCCCAUUACUAAUUGUUGGUAUUUUUCUCUCAAGCUCGAUUUCGAUUGUACGAAUAAUCAGGUCGAAUAUGAAACCCUCAUUACCGGCCUCGACGUGCUACACGAUUUUCGGGCAACUCGUGUCCUUGUUCUUGGUGACUCCGAACUUGUCAUUAAUCAACUCAAUGGGACUUUUCAUUGCAUAAGUUGUACUCUGGCGCCUUCCUACAUGGUUGCCAGCUAUUUGGCCGAAUCUUUCAACGACGUUACUUUCAAACACAUUUCACGAGUUCAUAACACUAACGCCGACGAAUUAGCUCAAAUAGCCUUCAGAGCACAACUCAUGGGGGGCAAAUUAAGCCGAGAAAUACCUGUGUCACGACAAGCACAUUCGACCUUGAUUAAUUAGUAAGUUCUCCAGCGUGAUUGCGUGAUCCGUAUACGGGUCAUGUCUUUACCUUCGUUGUUAGAACGGAAGGACACUAUUGAGGUUUGUGUCGUCGAGGCAUUACCAAACGAUUGGAGAAGGACAAUUAUGCGAUAUAUUGAUAACCCCAACGAAAAACACGACCGACGGACAAGGGUUCAUCCCAUAAACUACUAGAAUAAGUUAUAUCGAAAAGGUGAGGAUGGGUUAUUGUUGCUGUGCCUUGGUCCGCAGGAAGCUACUCAAGCAAUGGUAGAAGUACACGAAGGAAUUUACGGAGCCCACCAAUCUGGACGAAAAAUGUGUUGGCUACUUCGGUGGCACGGCUAUUUAUGGCUAAGUAUUUUGAAGGAUUGUAUUGAGUACGCAAAGGGUUGUGUACAGUGUCAAAUCCAUGGGCCUAUACAGAGAGUACCGGCUGAAUCAUUACAUUCGGUCACCAAACCAUGGCCGUUCCGAGGAUGGGCCAUGGAUGUUAUCGGUAAAAUCACACCAUCUUCUGGUGCAGCCAAACAUGCGUGGAUACUCGUUGCAAAGGAUUACUUUACCAAAUAGGUCGAAGCCAAGUCAUAUGCCAAGCUAACGUCUAAGUUCUUGACACUUGCAAGACAUUUCUUGAAAAUGCCCUUUCCAAUGUCCAUCCUUUCAUAAAGAAAGUUUGUUCCCUUGGAGUUAUUUCGCCUUCUUCGUUUGACUUCUCCUUUGACUACAAUAGUCAUGGUCCCUAAACUCCCACUAUCUCUCUUGAAACUUAUUUCAAUUGUGUUAUACACAUCAAACAAUUUGGAGAGCGUGUGGUUAUUGUUCACUAUAUAGUUUACAAUAAACUUAGUGAACCAUUUGGAUAGGGAAACAAAAGUGGAGUCCUUCCCUAGUUUCCAUCUCUUGAAGUGGUUUAACACUUCAACACUCAAUUCAAAAAUCAUCAUAAGUCCAUGUUGAUGGACUAUUUUUGUCAACCAACCAUUAUGUUCUAAACAUAAUUACAGACUUUCAAGAGUUGUUAAAGGCAACUCUCAUUUCUUCAUACAACAAUUUGUAAGUGAAGAAUCAUGGCACAUAACAUGUACAUGCCCUUGUGCUUACUUCUCAAGUUCCUUGUUCAUAUAACAAAGCAACAAGCACUAAUGUUUGCGUUAACUAAGAGUUGUUCAAAGCAACUCUUAUUUCUUCAUACAACAAUUUGUAAUUGAAGAAUUAUGACAUUAAAAGUGUUGUCCUCUUUAUGAUAGACUUAUCUAACAUAUUCUUCCAAUGAUACAUUAUCAAUAGGAAGAUUGUGAGGAUGAGACUACUUAGGUACAUAUACAAGCCAUUAAAGACAAUCUAUGGGAUUGUAGUACCAAGUCCAGAAACUGAAGCUUUUGGCUUUUUCUUUGUCAAGUUUUAGAUAGCGUUUGCAAAUAUAUUGGUAAAUAAAUACAUAACGAAUAUAAAUUGAUUGAUUUUAAUCCAUUUGAUCCGGGUCUUUAAAUCAAAUAGCACCAUCCACUAUUUUUGGCAAAUUCUAUAUUCCUCAUCGGAAUUCGAGAGUUUUAGAGGAAACUCUUAGUAGGGUAUGGGAGACUCAUCAUUACCAACCCCACCUCACAAUGAUAUGAUGUUGGCUAGCAUAAAUAAUAAUGAGAGAGUACGCUUACUCAUUUGCAUCUCUUGCAAGUACCCAUCUUAUUUGGCCUCUAGAGAAUGAAGCCUCACAAUGAUAUGAUGUUGGCUCCAUUGCACUUAGUUAAGUCAUUCCCACCAUGCAAGUUCGAGUAGGGGUUCAAGAACAACCUCACAAUGAUAUGAUGUUGAUCAUUCUCGUUGCCUACCUUCACAACAUCAUGUAUGCAUAUAGAACUCCUCAUGAGUGCAAGCACGCACUUUGUACUCCCCCAAGAUAGGGUGAAGUCGGUGUACGAGUCACAAACGAUCGGAGCCUACCACGGUGGAAGGCCACGAAAGAGUGUUCAAAGCACUCUCACGCUUAUCAACUUAAUAAUGGUUUGGUUGAGGGUUUUAGGUCUCAUCACAUAUAAGCAUGCAUUUUAAUCUUAUUAAAACAAUUUGGUCCUAUUACAACUAUUGGUCCAUUUGAUUGAUUUAGUUGUAUAUGAUACUCCCACUAUGCUUGUAAAACGGUUUUUAAAGAAAGAGUAUAUGGUACUACUAACAUAAGGUUUGCAUUCAUUGAUGGACUAUAUAGUUGCCUUAGGGCCUUAGGAUGACUAUGAACCUUUGAUUCGAUCCAACACGAGCCUAGUGUUGAAUCUCGGUCUAGGGAUGGUGAUUGAUUUUAGUUACGCGUUUAAUCACAUUAAGACGUGUUUUCUUAUUGGGCAUUGGACCCUCUACUUCAUUUUCAUGCAUAUCAAAUAAAGCAAGAAAUAAGUACUUCAAAGUAAAGAAGAGCUUAUGCUCUUUUACAACAUUUGAUCAAAACAAAUUACCUUAAAGUAAAGAAGAGCUUAUGCUCUUUUACAAUAUUUGAUCAUAUCAAAUUACAACCAAAAUCUAAUCUACACAUUCCCAUGGUUCAAACAAAUUUGAGACGGCCUUUCACAUAGCUCAAUUAUCGUAGGCUUAGGUUCAUAAUCACCCUUUCUUUAAUUAAUUAACGCUUUAACUAAUUAAACUUGAAUGCAACAUUUUCAUUUGGUUUUUGUAUCCAUAGAAUUGAUUUAAAUGGAGCUAAAUGGAAUGAAAAUCCAAUUCUCAUUUAAAGAUACAAAACUAUUUUGUUCUCAACUAAUUUGGGCCGAAAAACAAUAACCUCAACCAUUGGGUUAUAUUGCAAAACACAAACUUUUGAGGUCACUAUGUAAAAACACAAAAAUCCACUACUUCAUGUAAUUACAACUAGAACCCAAAAAUUUCAUCAAAUACAAAAACUUCAUUAAAGGAGCAAAACAUUUUGUACUUUAGUGAUUUUGGGUCUUUACGUAAAAACAUAAACUUUUGGGUCAAAGUACAAAUACACAAAAGUAUCAAAACUUUAUGUAAUUGCAUAAAAGCCCCAAAAGUACCCUACUUUAUAGGGUGGCCGGUUUGGGUAGUGAAAAAGGGGGAAGUAGGUUUUGGUGAAAAUACAAAAUUUAAAACGAUCCCUACUUACAUACUUACUACAAUUGAUAAAAAGAGGGUUAAUUUGAGUGCUAGUUAAUAUCAUAUCAAGUUACUGUUGUCAAGAAUGAAGAGAACGAGUUGGUGCCUACACGAAUUCAAACUGGAUGGCGAGUUUGUAUUGACUAUAGGAAGCUAAACGCCACAACAAGGAAAUAUCACUUUCCUUUGCCAUUCAUCGUCCAAAUGCUUGAAAAGUUAGCCGGUCGUGCUUUUUAUUGUUUUCUUGAUGGAUAUUCUGGAUAUAAUCAAAUUGUGAUAGCCCCGGAUGACCAAGAGAAGACCACAUUCACGUGUCCCUUUGGAACUUUUGCUUAUCGUCGCAUGCCAUUCGGCUUAUGCAACGCACCUGCCACUUUCCAAAGGUGUAUGGUAAGUAUAUUCUCUGAUUAUGUUGAGAAAAUUAUUGAGGUAUUUAUGGAUGAUUUCAGUGUGUUUGGGGAUUCUUUUGAUAAUUGUUUGGAUAAUCUGACCUUGAUCUUGAAACGAUGUGUUGAAACUAACCUUGUGUUGAAUUGGGAAAAAUGUCAUUUUAUGGUUAAACAAGGUAUAGUUUUAGGCCAUAUCGUUUCAGAAAAAGGAAUUGAAGUGGAUAAAUCAAAAAUAGACCUUGUACGUCAUUUACCCUUUCCUACUUCGGUUAGAGAGGUUCGUUCUUUUCUUGGCCAUGCAGGAUUCUAUAAGCGCUUCAUCAAGGAUUUCUCCAAGAUUUCCAACCCCCUUUGCCGAUUGUUUCAAAAAGAUGUGCCCUUCAAGUUUGAUGAGGAGUGAAUCAGCAUUCAACCAACUCAAGGAGAAGUUAACUUCGGCCCCUAUUAUUAUUCCUCCCGAUUGGGGCCUUUCUUUCGAGCUUAUGUGCGAUGCAUCCGACUACGUAUUAGGAGCUAUUUUGGGGCAAAGAAAAGACAAGCAGCCGCAUAUCAUAUACUAUGCCUCUCGAACUCUCAAUGAGGCCCAAUUGAACUACUUCACAACGAAAAAAGAACUUCUUGCUGUUGUCUUUGCUUUAGAUAAGUUUCGGUCUCCUUUUAGAGAAGAAAAGAUUGCUAGCUAAUUCUUCCCUAAGUGGCCGGCCUCCUUUUAGAGAAAAAGAGAGAAAGUGUUUCUUUUCUUUGCCUUAAGAAAACCCUAAUGAGAAAAAGCUAUAAAGUUGACUUUAUAUUACAUCACAUGUGAGUGGCAAACUUGUAAUUAAUUCAAGUUUGCUUCCACUCACCCUUAUGGCCCGCCUUGUCUUUGUUAUUGGGCUAAUUGCCCAUUUUGUUUUAGUUGUCAUACAACUUAAACAUAAUGGGCCUUGUGAUAAUGGGCCUUGUGGACCAAAACACUUUUGGGCCUCGAAACCCAAAACCAACUUAAAAGCCCAAUACGAACCUUUCGUAAAAUUAAUUAACUAAUUAAUUAAUCUUGACCAUUCUCAAUUAAACCAUUUAAUCGCUUAUCCAUCUCAUUUAUAUUUCUUUACUUUCAUCCUUACUCGGUGUACGAUCCAUUAGGUUCCAAUUAGCGAGGCUGAUGUACACACUUUGUGUACAUUUAUAUCAUCUUUAAUUGGCAUUUUUGUGAUGUUUUUGAAUCAAACUAGUUGUGUUUUUACAUUAUUUUGUGCUAGUGUGCAGCCAAGUGUGUUUUAGGAUCAAUUGGAUUGCAAAUGAAGUAAAAUCACCCCUUUUUGGUAGCUGAGCAUUAUCCCAAACGUGGAGAAGGUUCUUGUGGAGUCAAUUUGAAGUUUCAAAUGAGGAUUUUAGAAGUUACUUGGCUGCAUGGAAUUUCAGGAUCACAUUUGGAGGUGUAAGGUGGCAUUCGGCCAUAUUGGGUGAGACAAGACAAGGCAAAAACAUUGGAAUUAACUUAGGUGGUUCCAAAACAUGCAAUCACAUGCAUGUUCACAAUUUGUGCCGUGCCUUCCAUUUCCUUUAAACAUCAAAACAUGCAAUCACAUGCAUGUGUUCAAACCUGCCGUGCUUUCCCUUCCAUUUACACCUCAACAACAUGUGAUUACAUGCAUGUUCACACCUUGCCGUGCAUUGCCUUACCUUUUCCAACUCCCUUUUGCAGCAAUGCAUGUGUCUUCAUUAAUCUAAGUCAUUCAGCCACCUUUGCACAUCCAAACCAAGCCAUGCCGUGCCUUUCUUUCCCUUUCCAGCAUGUGGAAAACAAUUUCUGGUUGUCCACUGCACAUUGCAGCCAUUGCACAUGCCUCUUGAAUUAAAUAAGUCCUACACAUGCUUGUGUUUCAACAUGCCGUGCCUUACCACCUCAGAAAUCACUUCAAUUCAUCAUCAUUUCAGAUUGGCAGAUCCAUUACUCUAAUUCCAGCUGCAUGUUCUCAUUAGGACUUCAAUUUAAAGUCCAUGCAAUCUCACUUCAAGCUCUCUCGGUCACACUCUCAUUCACACACCAAGAAACUCCAUUUUGUGUCCAUUCUCUAUCCCAUCCGCAACACCACCAUUCACUCACUUAGCCAUCCAAAUUUCUGACCACCCUCUCUCCCAUUUAAAACAAACCACCCAUCCACAAGCUGCUCAUCUUUCAUGUUGCAUCACAUUUGGAGAAUCAAGACCGAAGGCUACACUUAAAGGAUUUCAACAUCAGUUUUGCUUCAAGGGUUCCUUCUUCUCAAUUCUAUGUUCAUUCAUGUUAUGUAUUUCUAUGUUAAAACGUUUGUAAACAUGAAAUGUAACUAAUCUCCUCUUAGGGAUUCGAUGUAGCCUAGCAAGAAAACCAUGUAGUUAACUCAUAAUGCUCAUUUGAUCCUUCUAUUUCUUGUUUCAUUCUCUGAUUUUAUUGUGACUUUGUGUGUGUUGAUUUUAAUGCUUGAUCACCACUUGAAUUAACCACAGGUUGUGUAGCCAAAAUUAGAAGCACACAUCAUGCAUAAUUUUGGCAGAUUUGGGAGUGAAUGAAGGGGAUGUUUGGCAAACAUCAUGCCGUGUGUCCCCUUUGGUUUUGUGAAAGUUUCAUAUGUAUAAAACAUCCUUGGUUGAGAACCAAAGUUGCACAUCACAAUUUGGUUCUUGACUAGGAUGAUUUGAUCAAAUCCACACAUCAUAUGGUUGAUCAUAUCUAAGUGAAACAAACUCAAGAAAUAGGUGAAUGAAUGAGCAUAAACUGAUUUAACAAACAUGGGAUUAAUUUAGCUAUGGUGAAACCGAAUCCCUAGUUCCAUCUCCAUUGGUUUUAUUCCAUUUUAUUACUUGUUGAUUCAUUACUUGUGUUGUCAUCAUUCUUGUGAGUUUUUAAGUUACAACAACAAAUCUGUCUAAAGUUGCCUAGUUUAGUCAUUUAAUAUGGUUCUUGCAAAACAAGUGAUUAUAUAGGUCCAAUUAGUCCCUGUGGAUUCGACACCCUUACUUAUGCUAUUAUACUCAAUAUGUUUUAGCAUUAGGAAGGUUUAAAACAUAUCAUCAACAAAAAAAUGGCGCCGUUGCCGGGGACUGAUUUCAGUCCCUUGUAAUUGCUUGUUUAGUUAUGAACCCUUGUUAUGUUUAUUUUAAGUAGAGUGCUAAUUUAUAUUCAAACUUGUUUGUUUUGUUUUCAGGAAGUUUAUGUCAAAUAGACUUGUUGAGUUAGGCCAAAGAAUUGAACGGUUAAAGAGCAAUACUUUUGACAACUUUGUGCCAACAAAUUCACCCAAUUUCCGUGAAGAAGAGGAAGGGAAUUCGCCUAGUUCAACAAGUGAAGGAUCUAAGCACAUUAAUUGGGAAAGAGAAGAAGAGAUGGCGGACAACCAAGAUGAACUUCGAGCUUUGGAGGACUUUGCUCAACCAAUCAUACCAAAUUCUCCUUCAUGCAUCUUGCUGCCCACCGAAGCUAGAAACUAUGAUCUUAAAUCUUCACAUUUUCAUAUGCUUCCCUCGUUUUAUGGCUUACCUAAUGAAGAUCCUUUAGCUCAUGUGAAAGAAUUCUAUAAUGUUGUGAGUGGUUUACCUUUGCAGGGAGUAAGUGAAGCAAAUUUGAGGAUGAGAGUAUUCCCUUACACAUUGAAAGAUAGGGCCAAGAGUUGGUUGAUGACUCUAGCACCGGGUUCCCUCAUCACUUGGGAUGCCGUGGCUAAGAAGUUCUUGGAGAAGUUCUUCUCCACUCAAAAGACAGCCACAUUAAGGGGACAAAUCUUCAAUUUCAAACAAGAUGAUGGAGAACCUUUCAAUGAGUGUUGGGAGCGUUUUAAAGGCCUUUUGUUGCAAUGUCCACACCAUGGGUUACCUUUUCAUUUACAAAUGCAAAUUUUCUAUGAUGGACUAACCCAAACAUGUCAAUCAACUGUUGAUAAUGCAGCAGGUGGAGCUUUGAAGAAAAAGAAUGCUCAAGAGUCAUAUAACAUUUAUGAGAUGUUGGGGUCUAAUGCUCAACACAAAGAUCUAAGGGGUAAGAAAGUUGGAGUGUAUGAAACAAAUUCUAAUCAUGAACUUUCCUUGCAGGUAGCUAACCUAGAGAAGAAGCUUGAAGCCGUGCUCAACAUGGUGCCAAAAGCAAAUGAGGUGUGUGCCAUUUGCAACAUACCAAACCACCUUACUCAUCAAUGUCCAUCUAAAGAAGCCUACCCCGAAUUUGUCCAAGAACAAGUGAACCUCAUGAAUUCUUACAAUCAAAGGCCAAGGAAUGAUGUGUAUUCAAACACAUAUAACCCAAGUUGGAGAGAUCAUCCCAAUCUUUCAUGGAGGAACAACAAUCAAAAUCAAAAUCAAUUCCAAAACUUCCAACCAAAACCGGCCACUACACUUGAGGAUACGGUUAAGUUGUUAGCUCAAAACACCUUGCAAUUCCAACAAGCUACCAAUAGCACUUUCCAACAACAUUCGGCUGCCCUAACCAAAAUGGAGACACAAUUGGGACAGAUUGCGGAUGCCUUGAACCAAAGAGAAAUUGGAAAGUUUCCAAGCCAACCCGUGAUGCUUCAAAGGAACCAAGAGCAAGCCAAAGCAAUCACUACACUUAGAAGUGGUAAGGUUAUCAAUAAUAGAGUUGGUAAUGAAGUUACUAAUGAAUUUGAUCAUGUGAAUGCAGGGGUUACUCAAGGAGAAAAUGAGAAACCAAAUGAGGAACCAAGCCCUGCCAAUUCCUCAUUUGAAGCACCAAAUCUUCACAAGGCCGAGAAGCCUUAUACUCCACCAAUACCAUUCCCUGGAAGACUUGCCAAAAGCAAGCAGGAUAAGUCAUUUAAGGACAUUUUUGAUAUUCUAAGUAAAGUGAAUGUUAACUUACCUUUGCUUGAUGUCAUUAGGAACAUGCCAGCUUAUGGGAAAUUCUUCAAAGAGUUAAACAACUACAAAAGGAAGUAUGGACCACAUGAGAAGGUAGUGGUGUCUGAGAAUGUAAGUGCAGUGUUGCAAAGAAAACUUCCACCAAAGCUCAAAGAUCCAGGGAGUUUCUCUAUCAACAUUACUAUAGGAGAAAAUAAAGUUGAAAAAGCAAUGCUUGAUUUGGGUGCUAGCAUCAAUUUAAUGCCUUAUUCUGUGUACCUUCAACUAGGUUUGGGGGAAUUGAAAGCCACCACCAUUUCAUUACAACUUGCAGACAGAUCCGUGAAGUAUCCAAGAGGUAUAGUAGAGGAUAUUCUAGUUCAAAUUGAUAAACUAAUCUUGCCUGCGGAUUUUGUAGUGUUGGACAUGGAAGAAGCUCCUAUACAUGAUAGAGAGUUGCCUAUUUUGCUUGGAAGACCAUUCAUGGCCACGGCCAAGACUAUCAUUGAUGUGCAAAACGGACUCCUCACUAUGACAGUGCUAGGAGAGACCGUGCAAUUUAAAGUGUUUGAGUCUCUUUCUCAUCCUUCUUCAUCUCUUGAGUGCUAUGCCAUUGAUGUGCUUGAUUCACUUGUUUUCUCUAAGUUCUUGCAGGCACAAUCUAGUGAACCAUUACAAACUGUUUUGACUCAAUCUCAAGAUGAGUUUGAUGAAGAAGAUGCACUCAUGAAAGUAGUAGCUGCCUUGGAAGCAUUGGCACCGUAUCCUUUAAAUGUUUCACCUCUUGUAGAGCAUUUAGAACCAUCUAGGUCACAUUUAAUUCCUUCCAUUGUUAAGGCACCAAAACUUGAACUUAAACCACUUCCACCACAUCUUAAAAUAUGCAUAUCUAGCUGAAUUUGAAACUCUUCCAGUUAUCAUAGCUUCUGACCUAAAUCCAAAUGAAGAAGAUAAGCUAAUGAGAGUGUUAAAAGAGUCUAAAUCAGCUAUUGGAUGGUCUAUUGCAGAUAUCAAGGGAAUAAGCCCUACCAUGUGCAUGCAUAGGAUUCUUUUGGAGGAUGGAUCAAAGACAACCCGUGAACCACAAAGAAGACUCAAUCCACACAUGAAGGAAGUGGUGAGGAGUGAAGUGUUGAAGUUGUUGUUAGAUGUGGGAAUCAUAUAUCCCAUUUCUGAUAGCAAAUGGGUGAGUGCUAUUCAGGUGGUACCCAAGAAGGUGGGAAUCACAGUGAUGACAAAUGAAAACAAAGAGCUUGUGCCCACAAAGCCCACAGCCAGUUGGCGUGUGUUUGCACUGAUUACAGGAAGUUGAAUUCUAGCACUAGAAAAGAUUACUUUCCUAUGCCUUUCAUAGAUCAAAUGCUUGAGAGAUUGGCAGGUUACUCACAUUAUUGUUUUCUGGAUGGUUACUCAGGUUACAAUCAAAUUGCAAUUGCUCCAGAGGAUCAAGAGAAAACUACCUUUACUUGCCCCUUUGGCACAUUUGCAUAUAGGAGAAUGCCAUUUGGACUUUGCAAUGCUCCAGCAACUUUCCAAAGAUGUAUGUUGGCCAUCUUUUCUGACAUGGUAGAAAGAUUCAUUGAGGUAUUUAUGGAUGACUUUUCAGUGUUUGGUUCUUCUUUUGAUGAAUGUCUUAACCAUCUCUCUUUAGUACUUCAAAGAUGUCAGGAAACAAAUUUGGUUCUCAAUUGGGAAAAAUGCCAAUUCAUGGUGAAACAAGGAAUUGUGUUGGGACAUGUAAUCUCUAGCAAAGGAAUGGAGGUGGACAAAGCCAAAAUUGACAUAAUCACCAAGAUGGCACCUCCCACAACCGUGAAGGGAGUGAGAAGUUUUUUGGGACAUGCGGGUUUUUAUCGACGUUUCAUUAAGAACUUUUCAAUGAUCACUCGUCCAUUAUGCAAUCUAUUAGCUAAAGAUGUUGCAUUUCAUUUUGAUACAGCUUGUAUGGAUGCAUUCAAAACUUUGAAACAGGAAUUAACCUCGGCCCCAAUUUAUUAUGGCACCAGAUUGGUCUUUACCUUUUGAAUUAAUGUGUGAUGCCUCUGACUAUGCUAUUGGUGCAGUUUUAGGGCAAAGGGUGAACAAACUUCCACACGUGAUCUACUAUGCAAGUCGGACUCUAAAUGAUGCUCAACUUAACUAUUCCACAACUGAAAAGGAGUUGCUUGCUAUUGUUUUUGCUUUAGAGAAGUUUCGGUCAUACCUUGUGGGAUCUAAAGUUAUUGUGUUUUCUGAUCAUGCAGCCCUUAGGUAUUUGAUGACAAAGAAGGAUGCUAAACCACGCUUAAUUAGAUGGAUACUUUUACUACAAGAGUUUGACUUGGAGGUUCGAGAUAAAAAGGGAAGUGAUAAUGUUGUGGCUGACCACUUGUCAAGACUUAAUGAGAACCAUGGAGUUGCACAACCUUUGCCUCUAAAUGAAUCAUUUCCAGAUGAACAACUCCUUGUUGUUCAAGAAAAAGAACCGUGGUAUGCUGAUUUCGUUAAUUAUCUUGCUUGUGGUGUAAUGAGAAAUGACAUUUCUUUUCAGGAAAGAAAAAAGUUCCUUGCCAUGGUCAAGCACUACGUUUGGGACGAACCAUAUUUGUUUAAAUAUUGCCCUGAUCAACUCAUUAGGAGAUGUGUCCCAGAGAGUGAACAACAAAGCAUUCUAACGUUCAGUCAUACAUUGGCAUGUGGCGGACAUUUUGGUGCCAAAAAGACAUCUCUUAAAGUUUUACAAUCUGGUUUCUUUUGGCCUACUUUAUUCAAAGAUGCUUUUGAUUUUUGUUCUAAUUGUGAUAGGUGCCAAAAGAUGGGGAACAUUAGCCGAAGAAAUGAGAUGCCAUUGAACAACAUUUUGGUGGUAGAGCUUUUUGAUGUUUGGGGAAUCGACUUCAUGGGACCAUUUCCAUCAUCUUUUGGCUACUUAUACAUAUUAGUGGCAGUUGAUUAUGUAUCCAAAUGGGUUGAAGCCAUUGCUACAAGAACUAAUGAUCAUAAGGUUGUUUUGCACUUUAUUAAAGAUGUGAUUUUUUGUAGGUUUGGAACGCCAAGAGCUAUUAUUAGUGAUGGUGGCAGCCAUUUCUGCAACAAACCCUUUGAAUCAUUGAUGAGGAAGUACAACAUCAACCACAAAGUGGCAACCCCGUACCAUCCUCAAACCUCAGGACAAGUGGAGAUUAGCAAUAGGGAGAUCAAAAACAUUUUGAUGAAGACUGUGAGCCCCACAAGGAAGGAUUGGUCGUUGAGGUUGAAUGAUGCACUUUGGGCGUAUAUAGAACAGCGUACAAGACCCCCAUUGGCAUGAGUCCUUAUCGUCUUGUGUUUGGGAAAGCUUGUCAUUUGCCAAUGGAGCUUGAACACCGAGCAUAUUGGGCCAUUAAGAAGUUCAACUUUGAUUACAAGGAUGCUGGAAUAGCAAGGAAGCUCCAACUUAAUGAGUUGGAAGAGCUCAGAAAUGAGGCAUAUGAAAAUGCCAAAAUUUACAAGGAAAGGACUAAGCUCUAUCAUGACAAAGCCAUCCUAAGGAAGGAGUUUCACCAAGGUAUGAAAGUACUUUUGUAUGACUCACGUUUGAGACUUUUUCCAGGUAAAUUGAAGUCUAGAUGGGUAGGACCAUUCAAAGUGUUGCAAACAUUUCCCCACGGAGCUGUGGAGAUAGAGAACAUGAAGAAUGGCACCUCUUUCAAAGUCAAUGGACAGAGAUUGAAACCAUAUUUGCAACAAGAGGAGGAAGGGCAAGUGUAUCAAAUUGUCGAUUUUCUUGAGUUUACAACACCAUGAACAAGUUCCAUGUCUUGCCUAGACAUUAAAUAAAGCGCUUGCUAGGAGGCAACCUAGUGUGGUUUGUAUUCUAUCUUCAUGUUGUGUUUAUGUUGUUACCAUUCCAUAUUAUUUACCUACUUGAAUUGCAUACAAUUUUAAGCAUCGAGGACAAUGCUUACCAUAGGUUUGGGGGUAUUUUGGGAUGGAAGGUUUGUUUUUGUGUUUGUUUUGGUUAAGUGUGCUUUUGCUUACUAAUUCGAAUGCUUAUGAGGACUAUGUUUGCAAACAAACUUUUGGGUUGCUAUAAAAAAAUUUUGUAUCUUGUGUCUUGUAUAAAGAUGUAAUUCUUGGAGAUAUGAUGAUAGAGGUACCAUACUCAAAUUCUGGAAGAAGAAUAGUGGAGACUACCCUAGUGAGUUAUUUUGAGCUUAAUUGCUUCUUUUAGAGGGUUUAAAGUGUUUCAACUCCUAUCUUUUUCUUUCAAUUUCACUUUAAAUGAUCUCUUUACUUCUAUUUUGUUUGGAUGCUAAGAAUUACUCUAUUUUGCAGAUACCAUGUGUUUGGUAUCAUUCAUGAAUGAACUCAAUGAAAUGAUGUUAGGCUAUGCAUGUUUUAACUACUAAAAGGCUUAAAUCCUAUCCCUUUGUGUGCUCCAUUCACCAUUGUUGCAGCCAAACACUUUAGCCUAAUUCUUUCAUCACCCGCACCAUACUCUACCCAUUCUAGCUCAAUAUAAGCCAUACCUUAUAGUUUGGGGAAUACCAAUUUGAUGAAAGCUUAAGGUAAAUUGAGUGAGAGAUCAAGAUUGUGGCGUGUACCGAGGGCACCUAUGUGAAAGUUGUUUCUAAGCAUAAAAGUUAUAAAAAAAAAAGAAUCAAAGUGGAUACAAGUUCCAAAUCUCCUCUUUAUAAGGUUUAGGGCCUGGACGCCAAAAGAAGAAAGAAGGCAAAUGCAAGUGAAGAGCAUGAUCCUCAAGGACACUUUGGUAUUCCCCAAGCUCUAGUAUUUCAUAUCCCUUCUUUCUUAACCUUUAACCUAAGCCUUGCAUUACAAUCUUGAGAAAGACCUAGCUGAUCAUUGAGGAUGUAUUCAUGGGUGAUGGUAAGUGUAUGUUAUUUUUAUUCUUAGCAUUUGAUUCAUUUCAUGAGAUCUACUCAGAAAUUGUGCUCCCAUUUCGGAUUUCAUAUGUGAGAAUUUUGAUUGCCUUUACAUAAUUUCACUCAUAUAUGUUGUGAAGAGACUGAACCUUAGGAUCUGAGUGAGAAAUUGAGUGGAAGCUGUGAGGAGUAGAGUUGAGGCGAUUUCUUUCUUAAGCAUUUGGGUAUGGUGGCCUUGAAGUUGUAAGGCAUGUAGAAAUAUCUUUAUACAUCACAAUUGAUAUAAUUCUUUGGAGUAGAAAACUUUUGAGUUUGGAUGUAUGGCAAAGUUUUCUUUGGUUCUUAUUAUUUGGUGUAAAGCAUGUUUUAACCAACAUACAUGAAUGUUUUGUGUGUUGUGUGUGUUUUAGUUUUAAGUUUGCUCGUGGACUAGCAAAAACCAGGUUUGGGGGUAUUUGAUGUACACACUUUGUGUACAUUUAUAUCAUCUUUAAUUGGCAUUUUUGUGAUGUUUUUGAAUCAAACUAGUUGUGUUUUUACAUUAUUUUGUGCUAGUGUGCAGCCAAGUGUGUUUUAGGAUCAAUUGGAUUGCAAAUGAAGUAAAAUCACCCCUUUUUGGUAGCUGAGCAUUAUCCCAAACGUGGAGAAGGUUCUUGUGGAGUCAAUUUGAAGUUUCAAAUGAGGAUUUUAGAAGUUACUUGGCUGCAUGGAAUUUCAGGAUCACAUUUGGAGGUGUAAGGUGGCAUUCGGCCAUAUUGGGUGAGACAAGACAAGGCAAAAACAUUGGAAUUAACUUAGGUGGUUCCAAAACAUGCAAUCACAUGCAUGUUCACAAUUUGUGCCGUGCCUUCCAUUUCCUUUAAACAUCAAAACAUGCAAUCACAUGCAUGUGUUCAAACCUGCCGUGAUUUCCCUUCCAUUUACACCUCAACAACAUGUGAUUACAUGCAUGUUCACACCUUGCCGUGCAUUGCCUUACCUUUUCCAACUCCCUUUUGCAGCAAUGCAUGUGUCUUCAUUAAUCUAAGUCAUUCAGCCACCUUUGCACAUCCAAACCAAGCCAUGCCGUGCCUUUCUUUCCCUUUCCAGCAUGUGGAAAACAAUUUCUGGUUGUCCACUGCACAUUGCAGCCAUUGCACAUGCCUCUUGAAUUAAAUAAGUCCUACACAUGCUUGUGUUUCAACAUGCCGUGCCUUACCACCUCAGAAAUCACUUAAAUUCAUCAUCAUUUCAGAUUGGCAGAUGCAUUACUCUAAUUCCAGCUGCAUGUUCUCAUUAGGACUUCAAUUUAAAGUCCAUGCAAUCUCACUUCAAGCUCUCUCGGUCACACUCUCAUUCACACACCAAGAAACUCCAUUUUGUGUCCAUUCUCUAUCCCAUCCGCAACACCACCAUUCACUCACUUAGCCAUCCAAAUUUCUGACCACCCUCUCUCCCAUUUAAAACAAACCACCCAUCCACAAGCUGCUCAUCUUUCAUGUUGCAUCACAUUUGGAGAAUCAAGACCGAAGGCUACACUUAAAGGAUUUCAACAUCAGUUUUGCUUCAAGGGUUCCUUCUUCUCAAUUCUAUGUUCAUUCAUGUUAUGUAUUUCUAUGUUAAAACGUUUGUAAACAUGAAAUGUAACUAAUCUCCUCUUAGGGAUUCGAUGUAGCCUAGCAAGAAAACCAUGUAGUUAACUCAUAAUGCUCAUUUGAUCCUUCUAUUUCUUGUUUCAUUCUCUGAUUUUAUUGUGACUUUGUGUGUUGAUUUUAAUGCUUGAUCACCACUUGAAUUAACCACAGGUUGUGUAGCCAAAAUUAGAAGCACACACAUCAUGCAUAAUUUUGGCAGAUUUGGGAGUGAAUGAAGGGGAUGUUUGGCAAACAUCAUGCCGUGUGUCCCCUUUGGUUUUGUGAAAGUUUCAUAUGUAUAAAACAUCCUUGGUUGAGAACCAAAGUUGCACAUCACAAUUUGGUUCUUGACUAGGAUGAUUUGAUCAAAUCCACACAUCAUAUGGUUGAUCAUAUCUAAGUGAAACAAACUCAAGAAAUAGGUGAAUGAAUGAGCAUAAACUGAUUUAACAAACAUGGGAUUAAUUUAGCUAUGGUGAAACCGAAUCCCUAGUUCCAUCUCCAUUGGUUUUAUUCCAUUUUAUUACUUGUUGAUUCAUUACUUGUGUUGUCAUCAUUCUUGUGAGUUUUUAAGUUACAACAACAAAUCUGUCUAAAGUUGCCUAGUUUAGUCAUUUCAUAUGGUUCUUGCAAAACAAGUGAUUAUAUAGGUCCAAUUAGUCCCUGUGGAUUCGACACCCUUACUUGUGCUAUUAUACUCAAUAUGUUUUAGCAUUAGGAAGGUUUAAAACAUAUCAUCAACAGAGGUAAUGGGCGAUUGUUACUCUUAACGAUCGAUUGUGAAUUGAAACAACAUUUCAAUUCUCCCUUUGAUGAAGAUUAGUGUUUGCUAAUCUUCAGGGCUUCCACAAACCAUGAGUGACACCUAGCAGUAUGCCAUGGCUACCCAAGCUAAGUAGAAGUGGUUGGAGAACCUAUCCAGUUACAAUUACAAUGCAAUACGGUCCUUUUCUAAUACAAUACUCUUAAUCACAUUGUUUGAGUGAUAGUUUGUUUCAUGUCUAUUAUCCAGUGUGAUACUUCUUUACAUAAUUCAAUUGAAUAUGAUUUGGAAGAAACUUCCUAAGUCAUAUUCAUAUGCUUUGGUCAAAGACUCCCGAAUCAUAUCUUAGAGUAUUCUCCCUCCACCUUGGAAGGUUAGAGAUCCCUUGUUGUGCAUUCAUAUGUCUACAUGACUAGAUAUCUUGACCCCAACAAUGCCAUGGACACUCUCGAUGGAAUGCCUUUGACAUGAUCAAAGAUCAAGGACCUAACCAUUAGACAUCUAUGAUGCCUCAGGUCAAAAGACUAUUUUGCAUAUUGCAACUUAUGAGUUCUUACAUGACAUGUAUGUUCAAACUCUCUUUUGAUCGUUGUUUAGUGUACUUGAUUACCCUUUCGAGCACCUACGUGUUUGUCUUAGUGUCCAACACUAAAUGACUUGAGACUAGUCAUACUCACGCUUGAGUUGACAUAACACAUACUAACCUUAGCAGAUUGUCAAUGCCCAAUUGGCAAUCCUAUGGCUAGGAACGUUUUAGGAAUGAACAUAAGAGAAAGGUCUCGUUAAUCUAACUUACUUAGAUCACUUCUCUCUCGGAUUAAAUACUUUCCUUGGAUUCCCUUAUUGCUUAAACACAUGAUACAAUAAAUAGUGAUUAACAAUAAGCUUUGCCCUUCAUUAAACAUAUAAUAGUUUAAUACAAUAAGUAUUCCAAAAGCUAUUACAUCAAAUAAGUGGCUUUGUGGGCAUACUUCCAACACUUUCUUGUCUCAAAGUGUUUACAAUAUGUUUUGUUUGUGUUUUUGAGUGUUUUUAGUCAAGCCAAAACCCUAAAUUCAUCCAAAGUUGUGUUUAGAGUCAGAAACUGCCUAGUUUGUGUUUUUAGGCAGUUUUGAGUGUUUUUAAGUUGUUUUGAGUCUUGUGAACCUGUUUUGAGUCCUUUGAGUCUAUUCAAACGUUUUUAACUUUGUUUUUUUAUGUUUUUGAGUCAGUUUAGAGGUUUUAGCAAGCCCUCCUAAUCCCAGUUUAACGAUCCCUACUUGCAUUUAUACUACAAUUUGACAACAAGAGAGUUUAAUUUGAGUGCUUAACUUAUUUCACAUCAUCCAUAUAUAUGGAUAUCCCAUAAACCCCAAGUCAAGCAGGCCAUUACCAACUAUAAAAUCACAAAAGUCACGUCUACUAGCCACAGACCUAUUAUUCCCACCUUCCUUCUCAGAGUCAUCAAUAAUGUCAUUAAAAUCACCAAUAAGUAAACACUUAUCACCUGCUGCCUCAAUCCUCCUAGAUAACAUCCUCCAUUGCUCCUUUCUUCUUUUUUUUCAUCCGCACUUGCAUAUACCGCGAAUAACCUCCAUUGGUCAUUUUUCUGCCUGUCAUAAAUACCAACUUCAAUAAAGAAAUCCGCAUAUUUGACAAAUAAAACAUGAUCAUAGUUUCGCCAAAAAAUACACAUCCCACCAGCUAUUCCCCUUGGUUCAACAGCAUGCAUAAAAUUCAUCCUAAGCCUUUGUUUUAAAUACACAUAGCGAUUACUUCGAUUUUUUGUCUCCAACAGAAUCACUAUAUCAGGGAUGUGGAGCCUAUUCUGCUCCAUCAAGUAGUUAACUGUCAGGUCACCCCCGAUAUCCUGACAGUUCCAACAAAUUAGCUUCAUGGGGACUUAGGAGACCCCUUAAGGCUGUUCUCCUCCGCCUCAAAACAUACCAUUUUCCUUGGUCGAUUACUCUGCGGUUCAAAGCACUCCACUGCCUUUCUUUCUGAAUAACUCUCUUCCUCUUUUUCUGUUGAUUCAUCACAGCCUCUAUAAUAGGAUCCAAGUCAAAAGGGGUCAUCUUCCCUCACGCCGGGCCCCACCCCCAAACCUCCACCCACACCCUGUAAUGCCUGACCCAAAACAGUAUCCUCUAAGUUUUGGUCGUUGACAAAAAAAAAUGCUUUGGUUCGAACACCGAACAUGCAAUGAUCAAACAUCUUAAUAUUUUACAAAAUUCUGGGUCAAUUCAUUCCAAGUUCUUGUUUUUUUUUUCUAAUUUAACAAUACUAACCCUUGUUAAUUCUUCUAAUAAUUCUAUUUCUUUUGUUUUGGUUUAUUGUUUAAGGGUUAUGUUUAUCCUAAUAUUUUUAGUGACACAUUGUAAAACCAGACAUCACAUCUCCAUAUGUUUUUAUUUUUUGUUAUAAGUGAUAAUUUUUUAAUGGAAAAGUUUAAAACUAGACAUUGCUGCUCCGUCUGAUUCAGGUCCUUCAGAAGUUGGUGAGUUCAUAACCGGCCUUUUGAUGCAUUGAUAUUCGGAUCAACUGUACUCCAACCCUAAAAAAUAUGGUCCCACGGUUAUAUGCUUGUUCUAAUAUUUUUAGUAACGCCUUGUAAAACCAGACGUCACACCUUCAUAUUUUUUUGUUAUUUAUUUAUUUUUGUUACAAGUGAUAUUUUAUUAAUGUGUACUAACAUGAAUGAGAAAGUUUAAACCCGGGACCUAAUGGAUUGAGGUACAAUAUCCCUAAACAAUAGGGCAGUAACCUCACACCUCCAAUUAUUUAUUGUGGAUAGUAGUCUAGUAGUAGACCAUGAAAUUGUACGUGUAAGUGAGCGAUUGGCUUGAAAAAUGGCUGCUAGUGGUAGAGGCUUCUUAGAUAACAAGACCCUCAAUCUGUUAACCAUCCAUGAAUGUCACCCUGCUAAGACCAACUCCAACAAUGGGCUAAAACCUAAAAUUUCCUUUCCCCCCUCCAAAUCCACUCCAACCUAUGACCUAAAAUAAACCUAAAACCUAAAACCCAAAUGGGGGUCAAAUUCCGGCCCAAUUUUAGGCCACAAAGCAAAAUGGACCCCACCAACUGAGACUGAAACCAAGGUUGUGAAGCCAACUUCCCAAAUCCAACUCGCUAGGCUUUUGCUGAAGGGUGACAACCCCACGUGGGGGUGUUCCCCCGGUUGUCAGAGCAAUAAGUAGCCAAACGGCUACUUUUUAUCAUCCAAGGGUCUUCAUUAAAUGGGCCGUUGGUUAAUCCAACGGUCCAUGUUCAAUUUUUUUUUUUAGUUUUAUAUUUAUAUAUUUAUUGAAUCCAACGGCUUAGAUCGAAUAUAAUCAAAUCUAACGGUAAAAAAAAAAGAUCUAACGGUCCAAAUUUAAAUCCAACGGCUAGAAUAAUUUAAAAAUUCAACCAAAAACUCUAUAAAUACCUAUGUAUUUGUUCAAACAUCCACACAAAACUCAUUUUUCUCCUACAAUUCUUCCAAUUUUUCUUUCUACCAUUUCUUCUCAUUUCCAAAUUUUUCAAGAUGGCAAAAGAGCAUGUUAGAGGUCAUAAGUGGAUCUUUGACGAAGAUAUUGCUUUAUGUUUGGCAUGGAUUUUUGUUAGCGAAGAUGGUGCCAUUGGCACGAAUCAAAAUAGAAAGGUUUUGUGGGGUAAAAUCGUUGAUAAGUUCCAUGAAAACUCCAACGCCGGUCGAAGGGAAGUUGGUGGUGUUUAUGAUCGGUGGAAGAUUAUCAACAAAGCGUGCACUUUGUGGAAGGGAAGCUUGGAGAGAGCCAUGGUUGACAUGCCUAGUGGAAGGAACGCCUCUGAAAUUGUCUGAAAUUGUGAGUUUCUUUGUUGAUAUUUUAGUUGUCAUGUACAUAAUAGUAUUUUGCAACUAAUUGUUUUUAUGUAUUUGUUGCAUAGGGUGACAAAGCAAUGACAAUUUACAAGACAAGAACUACACCAAAAAAUCAAGCUUUUAAGUUGCAUCAUGCUUGGAACAUCCUCAAGGAUUGUCUGAGGUGGGGAACCGAUGCGAACCAACAAUGUGGAAGAUUAUUUCACAGUGAAGCCCUACCCUCAAAUGAUGUCAAUGAAGGUGUGAAUUUUGCCGACAAUGAAGGUGUCGAACAAAUGAACCCAACUUCUUCUUUUGCAGGGCCCCCGGAGAAAAAGGAAGUCCCAAGAGCUGAUACGUGCACAAUUUGCUAGCGAAAUGACAAGAAUGAACGAAAACCAGUGCCGUCGGCAAGAAGAAUCGGCUCAAAUGCGUUUGGCCAUGAAGGAAGAAGGGGAUAAGGAGCAAGACAGGUUCAAAAUUAAUUUGAUGAUGGAGGACCUUGACAAAUACACUCCAGAGAGGAAGAAAUACUUACGUGGUAAGCAAAAGGACAUUUUACGAAGGAAUGCCACAAUGAGUAUAUUUCAAGAUUAUGAUUCAUCUCAAGACUAUCACCCAAGUUCAUCACCAAGUCAAGAUGGUGGAUAUCAUUAUUAAGUUUAUGUAGUUUAUGAGUUUUCGAUUGUAUUAAGUUUAUGUGGUUUAUUAAUUGUCUUUUAAAAAAAAAAGUUUAUGUGGUUUAUUAAAUGUCGUUUGUAUUAAGUUUAUAUGGCUUAUCAUGAUUUUCAUGUAUUGAUUUAGUGAUUUUUCAAAAUUUAUUGGAAUUUAAAUAUUUUUAGGUUAAAAUGUUCAUAAAAUUAAUUUAGGAUAGUCUAUAUAAUUUUUUUUUUUAAAGUUAAUUUAAAAAAAAGGGUAAAUAUCAGUUUACCACCCUCAAGUUUUGUGCUUUUCAACAUUUAGUACAUGAAGCUUUUUUCAUCCCAGAGUCAGACCUAAAGUGUUAAUUUUGGGACAGUCUCAUACAUCUGUUAAGUUUUCCGUUAGAACUUCUAUUAACUGAUGAUGUGACACCUACAUGGACAAUUAAUGGGCGCCACGUGUCAAUAUGGACCCACUUCAAUAUUAAAAAAUUAAAAAAAAAAAACCACAUCAUCUUCUACCUCCCCCAACCCGUCCCUUCCUUCUUUCCUCUGCAACCCCCACCCUCUCUUCUCUCCUCUGCAACCCCCACCCACCCACCCUCAUUUGUCUCCGCUGUAACCCGUACCAACCACCUCACACCAAAAUUUUGAUUGGGGAAUUGGUGGAAAGAAUGAGAUACACAGACCAAGAUUUUGGAUUUUGAUUUGGAUGGAGAGCUCGAGGAUGCUUUUGAUUUGAUCGACAGAAAUAGCAAGGAGGGUGAUGAUAAUUUUGUUCGGACACAAAUUUAGCAAAACAAAACUAAAAAAAAUCGAAUUCAUCAAAGUGCAAACCACAACCCAAAACCCUACCACCUAAAGAGCAAUUCGCAUAUGUGACAGCCCGUCCCUGAUUUUAAGAGUUUUAAAGUUUUAAUAAAGGAUUUUACAAAAAUGCCCUUUGAGGCACGCGCAUUAUUCGAGGUUAAUCGUUGUGUCGUGCCAUCUAAGAUUUAUUUUCUUGACGUAUCAUCGUAGUACUCGUUGCUACGGACGUGUGGGCGCUGACGGUUUGUGAUUUGGAGUUAUAUCGAAAAAGUUAUUAACGUUUGAAAUUUGGGAUUUUAAGGAAUUAUAAUUUUAGUAAAAUCUAGAAUUUCUUUUAUGAAAAUGGACGGCCCAGAUUUAAUGAAGAAUUAAAUGGAUGGUUGGGAUGAGAGAAAGAAGGUUUGUGUGUGUGUGCGCGUAAGAAGAAGAAGAAGAGGAAUAGAUUGGGCAAAUCUGCCCAACCAGAGGAAGAGAGAGCCGGAGCUCCGGGAGAGAAAGGAGAGAGUGCUGGCGAAUGGGGAGAAGAGAGAGGAGACUGACCAAUCGGAACAGAGAAAGGAGGAAAGGAGAGAGGGCGAGAAGCGGAGGAGAGAAGGAAGAAAAAUGGGUCUUCACCCGCAACCCAUUUCGACCCGCGACACCCAAACCCAAAUUCAGACGAUUUUCACUGGAAUUCUCACAAAUUGGAUCAAGUUACCACUCCCAAUCAACACCUAGGCCUUCCCUCUUCAUGUUUCACCCCAAAAAUCAUGAAAUUUCGUGAUGAUUUCACGAAGAACACCCACACGGGUGCCGCGACUUUCUUGUUCAAAAUUCGCCCAAUUCCGAAGCAAUUUCUUUCAAUUGCCACCACCCAUACACUUCUCUUGAGGCCUAGAACAAAGCCCAAGCAUUGGUUGGGAUGGCGGAGCUGAUUUGAAGACGAAUUGGAACUCACCCAAUUCUAGGGUUCCGCACAGAUUUUGGUGAAAUUGGAGCUCUUCCAGUCCAAAUUGGCCUUAGCCUUAGGUAUAAAGUUUACUCUACUCAUUGAGAUCGUCAAUUCUGUAUUUUUUGAGAAUUUUUGGAAAUAGUUGGAUUUUCCGGCGAGCCGGGGCGGCCAACCGCCACCCGCGGCGGCCCGUGCGGCGGCGCGUGGCCAGUGGCCCACCAAUGUCAUUCUUAGCAUGUGUUUAAGGUUCUAGGUUCAGUUUUGAUAAUUGAUGGACGUAAAUUGAGUAAUUGAACCUAAGUUCAUUUCGAUUCGUGGUUAGGUGAAAAUGUGAAUUGACGAUCCAACCGUCGGAUCGUCACCAAACUUUGAUACGUUGUAAUACGUAAUAUUUGAGGAUUAUAGGAACUUACGGAUUGGGAAUCCAAUUUACGGAUCUUUCGAAAUUGGAGUUGUAAAUUCAUAAAAUAGAAUGUUAACCGUCACUUGGUUUUGGAAAUUGACGGAGAUCCGACCGUUGAAUGGUAAUGAAAAUUUAGAUGAUGUCCUAGAGGUAUAUUGUGGACCUCUGGAAGUUAUGAAUUUGAAAUCUGAGUUGCAGAUCUUCCGGAUCGAACUACGUAGUGACGUGUUUUAUAUAAGUUAUAUAUUCUAUCGAUAUGAUUUCUGAGGUUGGAUUUGAUUAUUGUUCUAGGCGCCGAUCAUCAUGACGCCUUGAUGUGUUGUGCUAAGGAGUUGUUGGGCGAACUCCAGGUGAGUGGGCAGUACUUUCUAUUUAUACCUAUAUGCUAUUGAAUUUCCCAGAAAUUGAGUUUUAAUGAAAGUAUGUUUCUAAAAUGCCAUGCAUGCAUGAUAUGCAUGAUAUGAAUGAUAUGAAUGAUAUGAACGAUAUGAAUUAUAAGAAUUGAUAAUUGAUGCAUAUAUAUAUGUGAAUUGGUGCUGUGGACGCACAUGUGAGUAUCAGGUGAGUUUUAUGUUAUUCAUGUGAAUCAUUGAUGAUGUGAAUUGUGUUGAGAGCUCAUAACCUGCACCUCUGGUGUUAGUGCUUAUAUUAUUCAUCGCACCGCACGCUCACCAUGGAUCCAAGUAGGUGCAUGUCGUACAGACCGAUAGAGGGUUCCGACAUGCUAGUCGUACAGACGACUAGAGGUGGUUCCGACUGAUAGGUGACCUUAGAUUAUGUGCACAGAUGAUUGAUGAGAGAAGCACUAGAGCGUAUUAUUACACCAUUCUUGUCGUACAGACUACUUCAGGUAGUUCCGACUUAUGUGCAGAGUAGCGCCGUACAGGUCACCAUGGUGACUCCGGUUGGAUUGGAUAUUAAGCUAUAGAAUUAACCGUACAUGACCAACUGUAGGGUCUCCGGUUGAUUCCUUAUUUCACCUGUUAUUUUGAUGCAUCAUUCAUUCUGUUUUUUAUAGUUAUAGCAUGGCAUACUUUUUGGCUUUUGAGAAAAAUUGAUGAUUUGAGAUAUAAGAAAAGUUAUAUGCUAUUAUGCUAUUUUCUGGGAAAGUAUACAGGUUUUACAGCGAGGGGUUAGAAAUGUUUUAAAUGAAAUGUUUUCGAAAAACUUUGUUUUACUGAUCCACUCAAUUUUGUUUUGCGCCCCUCCAGGUUCUAGAUAGCAGAGCUUUGGUGGCCACGAGGAAUCCAGCGGUGUUCUGACAGAAUUCACAAAAGUAGGACUCACCCUCGGAUGUUUCAUCUUAGUAAUUGUAUUUUUUUUUAAAGCUUCUGAACUGUGUAAAUGGUUACGUCACUCUCACGUGACGGCCAGCAUGCCCUCCUUCGGGACGGGGUGUGUCAGCAUAAGUGCUUAAUUAACCACUUCAAACAAUUGAAAUAAAAAAUCAAGCAGCAGAUGAACCUCACCUACACCAGUUCGUACGAGAAGCCUUCCUUCGAGUCCGAACAAAACACCUCGUAAUUACCAAAAACGACACCGAAUCGGAGAAUCCCAAUUGGCAGCAAUCGAAAGUUCUAGCUAGCUCGAAGCAAGCAAUGGUCCCAGUGGUGGAAAGAAUGCGCGAACGUGCGUGGCAAUGGCGGAAGCAGAAACCCUAGAACAGAGAGGGAGAGAGAAUCCCACUUUUCUCUUUCGUUUUUUUUUUUUUUUUUUUGGAGUGAGAUUUGAAAUUGGAAAUGAUGAUUUGAGUGUGCAUGGGUUUUCUGCUACUCCGACUCCCAAAGGGAGAAGAAAAGAGGAAAAUAGGGGGAGAAGGAAAGAUAAGGGUGAUGAUAAUUUUGGGGGGUUAGGGUUAGGCUUCCGUUGAUGCUAUGAUUUUGAUUUGGUAGGUGGGUGGGACCAUUGGUGUGAGGUGGGUGGUGUGGGUUGCAGAGGAGAGAAGGGAGGGAGGGUGGUGGGGGUUGCAGAGGAGAGAAGAUAGGGUGGGGGUUGCAAAGGAAAGAAGGAAGGGACGGGUUGGAGGGAGGUAGAAGAUGAUGUGGUUUUUUUUUUUUGAAGUGGGCCCAUAUUGACACGUGGUGUCUAGUAAUUGUCCACGUGGGUGCCACGUCAUCAGUUAACAGAAGUUCUAACGGAAAACUUAACAGAUGUAUGAGACUGUCCCAAAAUUAACACUUUAGGUAUGACUCUAGGACGAAAAAAACUUCAUGUACUAAAUGUUGAAAACCACAAAACUUGAGGGUAGUAAAUUGAUAUUUUAGGCCAAAAGGGUUGGAACAGAAAAACUGUUUCUGGGCUAAAACUUAAAUUUUUUAGGCUAAAUAUUUUAGGUUUUAGUUCAUGGUUGGAGAUAUAUCUGAUAGUUUCUGACACGACACGAGAACUACACAAAAAUAACGGAUUUCGAGUUAACACGAUAACUAAUUGGGUCAUUAUCGGGUGACCCGUUAAGAACCUGUUAAUAAUAGGUUCUUAACGGAUAUACACGCGGGUAACACGUGGGUAACCCGUUUCGACCCGUUAAGAAAAAAAUUAUUUUGAUAAUUUUAAAGUUUAAUUACUAAAAGAUUUAUUAUAAAAUACAAUAGCCAUAUUAAUAUGUACAAUAUAUUCUAUAUUAAAUAUAUAGUUUUGUAUUAUUAUUCUAUAUAAGUUUAAAAAAACAGUUUUAGUCAUUAUUUAUUUUUAUUAUGAGAGUUCCUUAUUAUUAUUACUAGGAUAAAUUUUAUUUAACAUGUUGUCCAAAAUUAAAAUAAACUGGUAUAAUAUUUGUUUAGGCAAGAACUGAGAAGACAUACAUACAAGUAUGAAAAAUGAAAGAAUAUAUAAACACUCGUGAUUCUUCAUUAUUCCUCCACGAGUAGAUAAUGGUUAUACUUACAUUAUUUAGAUUUUUAAAAUCCUCCAAACCCUCAUGAAUAAUGUUUUUUAUUUGAGGGAAAAAUUAAUAAAAUUAAUAAUUAUUAUUGUAGAAGUGUAAAAAAAUGUAAAAAAAAUAUACAAUCACUCAUAGUGACAAGCUUUACAACUUCCAUGAAAGGGUCAGCUUCGAAAUCCAACACUAUAAUCCAUAAACCUUAAAUUUAUAUUUAACCGUCGAUUGUCAUUUACGCUUUAUUCUUCUUAUUGAAUUUCAUUUUUAAAUAUUUUUUUUUUUGAAAAUAUGAUCAUCUGGCAUAUGUAAGAAGAUGAACGGUUUAGAUCUUUGAUAUCACGUUUCGAUAUUUACGGUUAACUGAAAUAGGAGUCGAUGUCAUAUAGUUUGUAGAAACUUUAUAAACAUCCAUCAAUAUUUUUACUAACCCUAAAACUCUGAACAUAAUAUCAACGAUCCAAACCGUUCAUCUUCAUGCAUCCUCUAAUAGAUCAUGUUUUCAAAAAAGGAAAAUCCGAAAAAAAAAAAUUUGAUGAGAAAAAUGAAGCGUAAAUGUAAACAACAAUCAACAGUUAAAUUUUGAUAUAUGAUUUAUAUAAUUAUAAUGGCGAAUUUCGAAGUUAAGCCAUUCACGAAAGUUGUAAAGCUUGUCAUUACAAGUGUUUAUAUAUAUUUUUUCUAUAUUUCUUUCACUUCUACAUUAAUUAAAAAACUAUUAAAGAAAAUGUGCAAGGUUCCAAUGUUUUAAUGUUCCAAUGUCCUUAAUUUUGCAAAUCUUUUGAACAUUUGAUAUUUUGUAAUGUUCUAAUGUUUUUUUUAUUAUGCUCUUAUUUUGAGUAUGUAAAUAUAUACUUAAAAGAAAAAUGCGUUUUUAUAUUUUGGAUAUGAUAAUAUGAUAUGUAUAUACUUAUUUAGUAUUAUAUUUUUCAUUUGAUUAUUUAUUGGUUUAAAAUAUAUCUUUCUUAACGGGUAACGGGUCGGAUCAUAUUACCUAUUAAUAUUAUCGGGUCGAUUUCGGGUUGGGUCAUUUUACCUGUUUAUUUUAACAGGUGUUAUACGACAUGACCCGUUAAGAUAUCGGGUAUGCAUGCCAGGUCUAGCUGGAGAUGGUCUAACGGCUUCCUUUCUGGUUAGACGGAUUUUCCUCCAUGUCCCAACUUGUUAGAGAGAGAGAGGGGUAGUAGUAAGGGUUUGUUUAAUAUCCACACAAAUGAAAAACCACCAGAAUACUAUUUAAAGGUAACCUCCAAUUUAGCAAUUAUAUAAGACUAUCUGUUUUUGCACUUCUUCCUUUUUUGUCUUCUAGGCAAUUUCAACUACCUGUUGGUUGAUUUGCCUGUGAGAGAGAGAGGGAGGGCGGUUGAGAGGGUGGGGGAGGAUUCCGAUGAAGAUUCUGCUGAACUAAUCCUCCUUGCCAAGUUCAGUUCUUCAUAAAAAAAAAAACCCCUAUUAUCUUUUGUCUUUCACUUCCACCCCCUCCUCAUCUCCUUCUUCUGUCCCUAUCUUUCAUUUCUUUUAGGUGGUGGGUUUCACCUAAUUUUUGGUACAAUCUCCACAACAACCCAGAUCUGUUUUUUUCCAUUAUUUUCUUUUCUCUGUUUCAAAAGAGAAUCAAAGAUUUUGGAGAUAUGGGUCUCUGCAUCUAGACUUAUCUUAAUCUUUUUAUUUUUCUUGGGAAUUCCAGGUGUCAGAAAACCCAUAUGAAAUCUGGGUGAGUGCCCCCACCUCCAUUAGCUCUCUCUCCUCCUUCCUCCUACCUUUGAAAGCCAGCUGUUUAAGCUGUCUGUACGGCUGGGGUCCUUUCCAUUUUCUUUCCCUUCCUUUCCAUUGAGCAAACUACAAAGCAUUUGGCUUCCUUUCCUUCUAGUUGUUGUUGUUGCAGUUUGAUCGUUUUUUGUCAACGCGAUUCAUUCAUUCGGUCCAUGUCAUAUUUAUAAAUAAAAAUUUAGCCUUCUCUGUUCUUAGGUUAGAUUGGCUUUAAGGGACUGAUUCCCCAAUUCCACCACCAAUAAUUUAGUUGAUUUGUUGUUUUGGUAAUUAAAGACGAGGAGGAGGCCCACCGUUGGGUUUUGGUGGGCUUCGUCGGAACCAAUAAAAAACCCAUAUAUUGAAAGGGAGGGAGGGGUUGUUCAAGGUACAAUUUUUUUCUUAAUUUUUUUUGUUGGGGGAGGAACAAGUGGAGACAAUUUCCUCUCAAAACAUCAAAUGUUUGAUGUUCCUCCACCAUUGAAUUUGAGGGUGCUUAUAAAUUUGUAAUGCUACUUUACUUGUUGAUAACUUGCCUCUCGUUUCUCUUUUUCAAGACUCUUCCUCUCAACCCCCUCCCACCAUGGGCUUCUGAGACUCCCUUGUUGUCACUCUUCUUCUGGAAAGAUUUCUCCUUCUUUGCCCUCUCCAAGUUCACGAAGCAAGGCCUUUCGAUUCUCUUUCGCCCUCGAAUUCCUUCCAGAAUGUCCCUCGUGAGGAGAACUCUAUCCCUUUCUUCUUCCAAAGUUGAGAAUGUUGACGACACGCCGGAGAUGUCCGUGUUGGACUUGCCGGAAUUGGUGUUGGAAUGCAUUCUCGGCAAGCUUCCUCCCGACGCGCUUUUUCAAAUGACGGGUGUUUGUUCUUCUUUGAGGGAGAGAUGCAGGAGUGAUCACCUUUGGGAGAAGCACAUGAAGAUGAAAUGGGGCAGAGUGAUUGGCCCUGCUGCCUACAGGGAGUGGCAGUGCCAUAUUGCUUCAAAAACCGAUUUGAUUGAUGUGAAGCAGGGAAAGCAGAAGGGCCUCAUGAGAAUUCUAUCUCUUGGUUGGCCUUUCUCAUGGAUUAGAUCCAAGGUUGAUGACCAUGGCACCAAGCAGAGGUCUUCCUUGCCAGCUGAUUCCAUCAUGUCUUGGUACCUUGCACUCGAGACUGGCAGGUUCUGGUUCCCUGCUCAAGUCUAUAACCGCGAGGUAUCCGCCAACUACGAUGUGCCAAUAUGUUUCGAUUACAACAGAAAGUGUGUUUAUUAAUUUGGUUUGAUGUUUGUUUUGUGUUGCAGAAUGGGCAUGUUGGUUUUGUGUUGUCAUGCUAUGAUGCUGAGCUUAGCUAUGAUCCCCGCACUGACACCUUCCAAGCCAGGCAAUUCGACUUACACCGUCGAUUGAUUUUUCUUAUUCCUUAUGUAUGUUGUUGUUGGUGUUAGCGUUUUGGUUAUGGCGAGUUGAUUUGUUCAGGUAUCCGCCACACGGGAGGAGAGCGGUUGCGAUUGAGAAGGGUGUGCCGUGGGAAAGGCUUAGAGCACCGCCGGUUGACACUCCGCCUCAUGAUCUUCACGUCUCCGACUGUUUGAAUGAGUUACGGCCUGGUGACCAUAUUGAGAUUCAGUGGAGAAGAAACAAAGAGUUUCCUUAUGGUUUGUUCUUUUCCACAUCCCUUUCUAAUUCUGGGUCAUUUGAGUCAUCUAAAUUUGAAGCUUGUGCAAUAUCCAAAGUUAACUUACCAUAAGAGAACCAAAUUUUUUAUUUUUUUUUCUUUUCUUUGGAGUCUUUAGGGCCAGUUUGGUAUUGCCUUUUUGAUCAAGUAUUUCUUGUUUACAGAACCAAUGAGUACUAAGUAAUGUAGUUACAUUUAUCAUCGUGUAAAUUAUGUUGAAAAUGAAUAGCAAACAAAUUGUUAUGAUUCAUUUGGUUGUAUUGCAGGUUGGUGGUAUGGCGUAGUAGGUCACCUCGAAUCAUGUGAUGGAAAUGAAAAUUACUGCCUUUGUCAUAAUAGUGGUGAGUUCAUUACUUUUCUGUUUUCUCCCGUUCUCCUCCCCUCCCCUCAAAGUAGUAGGAUCUUAUGCUCUCUACGAUUGGCAAAUAUGUGAUCCAAAACUUAUUUUUCUGUUGCUGUUGCUGUUGUUGUCGCUGUCUAGCUCGAAAAUAUUAUUCUAUGACUCCUACAACUUUCACCUUUUUUUUUCUUUCCCCAAAACAUUUUCUCAUCAAUUGGAAAUAGCAAUUUAGGAUAAGAAAGUUUUUUUUUUUUGAGGGUCUUUUUUUUUUCCUAAUGGGAGUAGAAAUGAAGUAGCUAGAGUAUUAUGAAUUCAUGAGCACGUGAUAAACAGCAAGAAGAAAAUAAGAAUGCAAUGCUCACUUAAUUUCACAGAAUAAAAUAGAUGCCCACAAUUGUUGAUCUUUUUUUUUCUAAUGGGGUAAGGGCUAAGUGGACCACCUUUUAUGCCAUUUGAUCGGACACCAACACAAAUCAUUGUCAGCAUGUCAUGGUUUCCACCAACGUUGUGCUAACUUUGUCUCGCGAGAAUAUUUAUGGCCAACCACAUUCGAACUAUUCAAUGUUCCCUGUCUCUGCUUUUUUAUGUUUUGAUUUGUGUUUGUUAGAGAGAUUGCAUAUUUGUACUGUGUUGGUGUAUUAUAUAAUGUUGCAAAUAAUGCAUAUAAUCAACGUUUCAAUAAGAUAAAUUCAUAAAUUAACUUGACAUGUGCACAUACAUUACUUGUCAUAUUAAAUAGUUCACUAAUGUAGUCUUCCUAAUUAAUCUGUAAGGAUUACAAUUUAUAUAUGCAUAAAAUACCUUAUUUUCUAUAGAAACUAAAUACAAAAGAUUAAAAUCAAUUACAAAUCCUAGUCCUACCAAAUAUAAGACUAUAUCUACAACAUAAAAGACUCGCGUGAACACUUUUUUUCCUUUUUUAUUUUUUUGUAUUUUGCUUUUUAUUGCAAAGUUGGAGUUGGAAUAUUCUUAAUGCUUUGGGGGGCUGCAUGCAAAAUGCAAUGGUCAACCUUGGCCUUCCAAUUUGUUAUUUAAUUAGUCUCCAUCACACACACCCACCCACCAGCCAAGCAAUCUUGCAAGAGAUUUGUGUCCUCUUCUCACCACAAUCAGACAUUAACCUUUAAAUACUAGUAAGAAUUCCUAAGACCAUCUCCAAUGGUGACCUAACACUUAAAAAUAUUUAGCCCAGAAAAUGUAGGUUUUAGCCCAGAAACAGCUUUUCUGCUCCAAUCCUUCUAGCCUAAAAUUUUAGCCCGAGAUUAUCAAAGAAUGAAUCAAGGAUAAUUUUUUUUUAUGUAGACUAUCCUAAAUUAAUUAUAUGAACAUUUUAACCUAAAAAUAUUUAAAUUCCGAUAAAUUUCGAAAAAUCACUAAAUCAAUACAUGAAAAUCAUGAUAAACCACAUAAACUUAAUACAAAUGACAUUUAAUAAACCACAUAAACUUAAUACAAAUGACAAUUAAUAAACCACAUAAACUUAAUACAAUCGAAAAUUCAUAAACUACAUAAACUUAAUAAUGAUAUACACCAUCUUGACUUGGUGAUGGACUUGGGUGAUAGUCUUGAGAUGAAUCAUAAUCUUGAAAUAUACUCCUUGUGGCAUUGCUUCGUAAAAUGUCCUUUUGCUUACCACGUAAGUAUUUCUUCCUCUCUGGAGUGUAUUUGUCAAGGUCCUCCAUCAUCAAAUUAAUUUUAAACCUGUCUUGCUCCUUAUCCCCUUCUUCCUUCAUGGCCAAACGCAUUUGAGCCGAUUCUUCUUGCCGACGGCACUGGUUUUCGUUCAUUCUUGUCAUUUCGCUAGCAAAUUGUGCACGUAUCGGAUCUUGGGAUUUCCCUUUUCUCUUUACUUCCUUCUGCUUAUCUCUACCCGAGGGCCUUGUAAAAGAAGAAGUUGGGGUCAUUUGUUCGACACCUUCAUUGUCGGCAAAAUUCACACCUUCAUUGACAUCAUUUAGGGUUGGGGCUUCACUAUGAAAUAAUCUUCCACAUUGUUGGUUCGCAUCGGUUCCCCACCUCGGACAAUCCUUGAGGAUGUUCCAAGCAUGAUGCAACUUAAAAACUUGAUUUUUUAGUGUAGUUCUUGUCUUGUAAAUUGCCAUUGCUUUGUCACCCUAUGCAACAAAUACAUAAAAACAAUUAGUUGCAAAAUACUAUUAUGUACAUGACAACUAAAAUAUCCACAAAGAAACUCACAAUUUCUGAGGCACCCUUUCCAUUAUGCAUGUCAACCGUGGCUCUCUCCAAGCUUCCUUUCCACAAAGUGCACGCUUUGUUGAUAAUCUUCCACCGAUCAUAAACACCACCAACUUCCCUUCGACCGGCGUUGGAGUUUUCAUGGAACUUGUCAACGAUUUUACCCCACAAAACCUUUCUAUUUUGAUUCGUGCCAAUGGCACCAUCUUCGCUAACAAAAUUCCAUGCCAAACGUCAAAGAUCCACAUUAUGACCUCUAACAUGCUCUUUUGCCAUCUUGAAAAAAUAAAAAAUUUGCCACGUGGCAGACAUUUGGCAGCCACGUGGCACAAAUGUGGUAGCCACAUCAGCAUUUAACAGAUUAAUGGAUGGAAAAUCUAACGGAUGUAUUAUAUUGAAAUAAAAUAGUAUUUAAGGUAUGAAAGUGAAAUGUUUUAAAGUUGUUGUAUGGAGUUGUAAUAGAUCUCAAAACCUGAGGGGCUACUGUGUAAUUUACCCUUUAUUUUAGGUCAUGGGUUGGAAUGGAUUUGGGGGGGCGGGGAAAGGGAAAUUUUAGGUUUUAUCCCACCAUUGGAGAUGGUCUAACCACUUUAUUCAAUGCAAUCAUAUGUUUUGCAAGGGAUGCAAUCCCUUUUGUUUCCUUAUAAUAAAUCUGUUGGGGUGCUUGGAGAACACAUACAACAAUGGAAAAUACAUUUCUCUUAUAUUAAUUUUGCUAAACAAGGCAAUUGGAAAAGCAUCAUAUAUUAUCUCUCUUAAUUUACAUGGUGAUUUAUGCUUGAUCCUGCCAGUAGUCAUAUGCUUGUCUCAAGGAUUAAGCCAUGCAUGUAUAAGUAAUGAACAAAUUCAGAUUGUGAAACUGCAAAUUGCUCAUUAAAUCAGUUAUAGUUUGUUUGAUGGGAUUUGCUACUCGGAUAGCCGUAGUAAUUCUAGAAUAACCCUCACUUUUGAACAAAUAACCGUAUUCCCAAACAGAAACUUGACUCAAAGAGAUGCUGCCUGUAUAUGUCAUUGUCAUCAAAUACCCUUCCCAAUCUGUUUAGGACUUGUCCCCAAGUGUUUCUUUAUGUUAGCUUUCUGUUCAGAAUAUUUAUGUGAUCUUUUUGGUCAAGGUAGCAUGUCAGCCCUUCUUGCACUUAAGUUCGAAUCCCUUUUUCCUUCUCCUAGAUCAUUCGAUCGACAAUUAGGGCCUUGAAAAUUUGUGACAAAUUUGAUGAUUUAUGAUUUUGGACAGACACAGUGGUGCUGGAGUUCAACCAGUACACACAUGGUUCAAGGUGGAGAUGCACAAACAUCAGCAGAAGAGAUCAUCGAGAGGAGGGGAAUGAGGCAGAUGGGUUUUACGGGGGCAUCAGGAUGCUCAGAAGCAAGCAGGAGAUUUCCAUGUGGAAGCUUAUUUGGCCUACCCAAGUCUUGGAAUAGUAUAAUACUUAUAUGCAACUAUUAAUCCACUUGCAUUACGUGCACAUAAGCAAGUGGAUAUCUGAAGCUACAAGUUUGGCAUCAGAUUCAAUGGCAUUGCCUCCAAUUAUUGUGGAUUGGGGAGGAGGCCGUGGUCUAUAGCUAUUUUGUUCCCAUUUUAUUUUACUAUUUUUUCGUCGAAUGGAUUCUGAUCCCUGUACAUCACCUCCAAUUCAUGUAAGAUAACUUAUCCCACGGUUUGUAAAAGUGUAGUUGAUAAAUAUUCAAUUGGAAGUCACAGAAAAUGGUAAUGCAGUUGCAACUUCUCAUCUUGUUUUUCAAUAUUCAAGCUAUUACUUUGUUGCUUGGUAAUAAGAUCUAGUUAUAUUUCACUUCACUUAUAAGAUGUCGUUUUAUUAUGGUUGACCUUUUGUGUAACGAAGCUACUAAUGCAAUAGUGGCUUUAUGCUUCAAGGCACUCCACAGGUGAUUGGGGGUAUCAUUGAACAAGUGUAAAGUUUUAAAUUCGACUCUUGUGGAUAUGUAAAUGGUGUAUUCAAUACCAAUUUAUUAUUGUUAACACAAAUCUAAUGAGUUAAGUAGUAUAUAUAAAAGUUUGUGUCAAAACACAAACUCUACUCUCUCUCUCUCUCUCUCUCUCCCAGGUCAUAGGGCUCUCUUGGGCUUCUUUGGCCUUAUUUUACUUUUAACUCAUACAUGAUUUAAACGUUCGAAGCCAAUGUGGAAUAUAGUGGUGAAUCUAGUUUGUUAAAUUUGCAAUGCAAUGCGUUUUUAAUCUAAUUUUAGUAUUCAGUGUAAGAUAUUAUAUGUCAGCUACCUAAGUGAUUGGCUAAUGAUUACUUCGUUGUGAUAUUUAAUUCAUUUCCUUAAAUCACCUUUACGUGCCUUAGUCAGGGACUACCAAGUCACCACACAAUGACAUUAUACAAGCCAUUAUUGACACAAUAUACAAUAGUUUUAGCAGAUAAUCAACGUCCAAUUGAUAAUCUAAUGACUAAGAACGUUUAGAAUAUAUACACUAUUUGGGUUUGGUCUCAACAUCCUAAAUUAUCACAACCUAUAUUCAUUUAGGCUUGUAUUGUUUAAUUAUUAGCAAAUAAUAAAUAGAUUCAAAGAGUCAAUUCUCUGAUUAUCAUUGUUCUUCCUUCGCUUUAAACAAUUACCUUAAAACGUUUAGCUUCCCCGCAAUGGAAGCAACUAUUUUCUUCACCUUGUUUUGUGUAAAUUCUUUAAAGUUUCUCCUUUUAAUUAUUCUUUUUGAACAUUGGCUAGUAAAGGACUGCCCUCUCUAGUAGUCUUGUCAUCAUCCUUCCUCUGGUUUAUUCUUUCUCUAAAGCCAAUAUCCUAGCUGGUAAUGAGUUCGUAGUUAACUUGUUUUUAUUAUAAUUCAAAGCUCUAAUACCACUAUAAAAUAUCACAGGAUCAAACUUGGUCGCCGUUAGUUUGUUAAUUACUUUGAAGUAUUGUCAAGGGAGAAAUAGCACACCUACGUUGGAUGAUUUGUGUGGAGAAAUGAAUUCUACUUUUUAGACAUUUAUCAUACUCUUUGCUGAGAGUUAAUAGACUUCUCUAGAUGUAAUUUUUUUAGAGUGAAGUGCCGAUUUAGUUUCUGGGCUACCACCUCAGUGAAAAUUAGGUCCCUAAAUUUUUUUUUUGAUAAAAUAAGUCCCUCAAUUCAUUUAAAAUUGCUAAUUUCAUCCCUACUAUUAUAUUCAAAACUAUUUGAUCUAGUUUUCGUCAACUUUAGUCAUUUGACACAUUUUAAAGUGCAAUACCGUCAUUUUCUCGUCUAUAAGCCCUUAGCAUUUUAUAUACAUUGCGAAUCUAACAUCUAAUUUACUCUCUAAAGUUAACCUCAUACACUAUUUCUUUAUGAAAAAUUACCAGUCUACCCUCCAAUGUGUAUCACAUGCAAGUAACAUGACUUGAAUUGAUGGAAAAUUGAAUAUAGUAGCUUUGAAUCUAAUAUUAGGGAUGUAAUGGCAGAAUUUUAUAAUUCAAUGACUGAUUUUUCUUAAAAAAAAAAAAGGUUUAGGGACCUAAUUUUCGCUGAUAUGAUAAUUCAUGGACUAGAUUGACAGUUGACCUUUUUUUUGUUUUUUGUGAUAAGUCACUUCACUUGUAGAAGGGUUGUUGAACCAUAUACGAUACUCCUUUCUUGCAACAUUUUCAAGCUGUCACAGUUCAAAUAUCCAAACCUCCUAUGCCAUUUUCAAGAAUUGUCUUCAAGAGUAACAUUUUUCCAUUAUAGGAUCCACAUAUUCAAAUGUAGGGGGAAGCACCUAUUACCCUUCAUUUGUAUUGUGGCAAUAUGAUCCUGCAGAUUUCUGAAGGGAAAUUGUGAGAUUUCAUGUGGGAUUUCUAGUGACUAGCAUGCAUAUACAAUUCAAAAUUUAUAUACAUAAGCAACGGAAGCAUGUUAUCACAUAAUAUCAAAGCUAUAGUCAUGCAAAUCCCCUUCAAGAUGCAUAGGUUUAUAUAAGAUGCAUCAAAAACAAUUUAUUGAAGAACAAAGUGUAGGAGUAGUUUUAUACCUCUUGAUCUAGACUUUAGACCAAGGAUGGACCACCUCUAAGCCCUUUGUUGUUGGAACUCCUUGAGCCUAGCCUCCCUCCUUGCCUCCUCCACUUUGUUAGAAUGAGUGCUCCUUGGUUCUCCUUAAUGAAGGGAAAAUUAUGAGAUUAACACAUGGGAUUUCUAAAUGACUAGCAUGCAUAUACAAUUCAAAAUUUAUAUACAUGAGCAACGGAAGCAAUUUACAAAUAAUAUCAAAGCUAUAGUCAUGCAAAUCCCCUUCAAGGUUCAUAGGUUUAUAUAUAAUGCAUCAAAACAUUUUAUAAAAGAACAAAGUGAAAGUUUAGUCUUAUACCUCUUGAUCUAGACUUGAGACCAAGGGUGGACCACCUCCAAGCCCUUUGUUCCUUGAAGUCCUUGAGCCUAGCCUCCCUCCUUGCCUCCUCCACUUUGUUAGUAAGAGUGCUCCAAGGUUCUCCUUUAGUCUCCAAAGGAGAAGACCUCUAAAGAUCCACACCCACUAGUGUAGUGAGAUGGAUGGAGGAAUAACCAAAAAGGUGAAAGAUUGUUAGCUAAAACACCCUCUAGGUGGCCGGCCUUUGUGGUUUUAGAGAGCUAUUUUCUUUUGCCUCUUUGUUGUUCAAAAAACACACAAAAACCCUAAUGAACUUUGUGCUAUAAAGUUCCGUAUAUAGACAAAAAGAAACCUAGUCAACAACUUGACUAAAUAUCUCUCCCAAACCCUUUAAGUGGCCGGCCCUUUAGUGUUUGGUUUGGGCUUUGAGCUUUUAUUAUUUCAAGUCAUCAUAUGCUUGAAUAAAAGCCCAAUGGGUUUAGGCCCAAUGGGCCCAAUUAAACCCGAACGUUUCUUUAAGCCCAAAACGAUCUUUUAUCGCUUUUAUGAUUUCUUUAGACUUUCUAAAUUAAUCACAACACUUAAUUAAUCCAAUUAAUUAUUUCCAUCAUCCAUUAAUUACUCACUACAAGAGUGUAUCGGUGUACAAUCAUUUUAGGUUCUAAUUAGCAAGGCAGUGAGGUGAUUGACAUCAAUCCAAUUGAUUAUAUUUAAUCCAAUCACUUAGUGAAUUAAAACUUCAUUUUAAUUCACCUUUCUUCUUUGAUGACUACAUUUAAUCAUCUAGAAGAACUCACAAGCUAUGAGUGACAUCUAACCAUAUGUCAUAGCUACCCAAGCUAAUGUAGAAGUUGUUCGGAGAACCUAUUCAGUUGGAAUUACAAUGUAAUUCGAUAUUUCUCUAAAACAAUACUCUCAAUCACAUUACUAGGGUAUGGAUAUAUUAUGUCAAACCCCUAAUGUGAUUAUUCCUUCUUAUAUGAUUCUAUUGAGUCGUAUAGGAACGCUUUCCUUUAUUACGCUCGAUACUUCGGCCGAAGAUUCCCGAAUCAUAUCUUAGAGUAUUCUUCCUCUCUAAUCGAGGAUUAGAGAUUCCUUGUUGCGCAUUCACUUGCCUUCAUGACUAAGUGGCUUAACCCCAAUUAUGCCGUGGACAUCCGCGAAUGGGGUGACUUUGACAUAAUCAAAGAUUAAGUACUUAGCCACAAGACAACGACGAUGCCUCAGGUCAAAGGACUACUUACAUUAUUCCAACCAUUAGAGUUACUUGCUUGACAUGUGAGUAGACCUCCAUGCAAGUACUCUCGUUCGAUUGUGUUCAGUGAACUCAUUCUCUUAAUGAGCACCUACAUACUUGUCUUAGUGUCACAACACGAAUGGGAUGAGACUUUCCAUCCUUCCAUUUGAAGCGGACACAGUAUGUACCGGUCUAAGCAUUGUCAGUUUCCCUCCGACAAUCCAAUGACUAGGAACCUUUUGGACAUAAUGAUUAUGUGAAGAAGGUCUCUGUAGUCUAACAUCAUUAGAUUACUUCUUCAAUCGAUCCAUUAUCCAUGGAUACACUAUUUAGGACAUAUAUCGUUUAUUGAGAUAGUCCUAAUUCGUGUCUUUGCCAUUUGAUGUAUAAGAGUCAUCCAUACAUCGAUUUAUUUGUCCUGAAAGGUUUCUUCCAAAGAUUGACUUUCAGGGCAUAUUUCCAACAAUCUCCCACUUGCACUAAAGUCAAUCACUAAUGUAUCUUAUACAUCUUGUUGAGAGAGCUUAUGCUCGUAGGUUAACUUGGUUAUGUAUUAAUCCCUUUUAUUAUUUAAAAGGGAUUUUCUUAUCAAAUGUUUCCAAAACAUUUGAUGAUGUCUCUUUAUCGUGUUCGAAUACUUUGAUGAGACCUUGAUUCCAUGGCUUGAGCUAUCGCCCCAUUACGUCGUAGUACCCUACUGACGACCUUAUGGUUUGGAUUCAAUCAUUGGUUCUAAAAGAACCCCUUCCAUUCAAAACACCUUUUGAAGCAGUUUCUAAAACUAUAUAUCGACAUAUAUUUCGUUUGUAUACUUUAUACAAACUUUGCUCCAACCUUGAGACCAUUGUAGUACAAUACUAACAAUCAUUCAUAUGAUUAGUACUUCAUCCAUUAUGAAGUUCCAUUUGUUAAAAUGGCUUUUUUUCACUUUGGUUAACAACCUAAGUGAAUGCACGCUUCCAGAGUCCCACUCUGAUGUUUCUUUCUUAAAGGCAAUAAUACUCUUUCAGUUGCUUUGGUUCUGAUCCUGGGAUAUAGUAAUAUCUUAAAGUGACAACCCCUGUGGUUCUUCACCUUUGGAUAUCUACUUCACAAGUCAAUACAUGUGUCCCUUUUGUGAUUUUAUGACACAUUCAUUAUAAGGGUUAUGAAAGUGAUUUCCUAUCACAUAGGAAAAUUCUUUCUUAAAUCUACAACAUUUGAGAUUUAAUUCCCAUAUAACAUUAAUGAGAUAGCCUUGCUAUAUCAAUAAGUCCAAUUUCAAGUCUAUACUUCAAAAUUGACCGUGUCAUGUUUUGUCAUUUUUCGAGUAACCUCUAUGUUUUAUCAAGUCUAUCGAAUAGACUUUAUUCACAUCUUGUUGCUCAAAUUAUGACAUCACUCCCACUGGCCUUGUUGUAACUUAGCAUUCAUUCAAAAAUAACAAUUAUAUUUUCUUGAUUUGAAUGCAUAUUGCUCCCACUAACUUAAAUGAAUCACACAAAAGAAUUCCUUCUCAAGUAAUUCCAUUUGAAAUGUGUGACUUGUUCCAUUAAGUCUAUUCAUUUAAAUUAUAUGGUGUCAUACACCAUACUUCAAUUUUUAGUCAUACUAAGACCUUUAAUGUAGUCAUAUAAGAAUUAUCCAAGUCUUUAGUGGAAGCAUGGCUCCUACUAAGGAUAUAGAAACUCAACCAUUCCUUCUAGGUGGUUGAUAUAAUUCUUUAUUAAAACUACAUAGAGCAAUAUUGUUACAUGAGAUGUUGAAUUUGGUUUGUCUUGUUGUUAAACCAUAUGUUGUGACUCAUUUUGAAACUUAUUCCCUUUUGUUUCAUCAACUUGUCCAUAUGCUUGGUUAUUUAGCUUGUUCUCAUAAAAGAGAAUUAUGGACAACUCCCAACAUAUAACCAUUUUAUGCUAGGUUGACGAAACCAACAUUCAAAGACUAUUCUUUAGAAUGUCACACAACAUAGAAUUUUAACGUUUUGAAGAGCUUGAGUCUUUUAACAAUUAAAAUUGCAAACUCUUAAUAAUAGUCAAAUACUAUUAUUCUUUAGACAACUAUAAACCAAUCAUAUUCAAGUUUAUAUCCAUUUUCACACCUCCCACUAUUUCUCAUGACUUCAAUGAGAAAUCAUUUCAUAUAUUCAAAAUGUAUGAAAUUGGAGUAUAUUGGAAGAAGACAUUGUGUAGUAGCUUUAAAACAUUUCAAGCUUUAUUUGUUUCAAUCUUCACUAAGUUAAUGUCUUGUUAUUAAGUGACUAAAGUCUAUAAACAUUUUAUAGAUUUAGACACUUCUUUCUUGGUUUAAUCACUAACACAAUUGACAUUUUAAAACCUUUUAAAGAAUGCCCAAUUAGUUGUUCAAAAUUACUAAUUGAAUCAAGAGUGAUCUUGAUCAUUGUGUUUCAAGUGAUAACCAUAUAAGAAACGUUUUUCUUAUUACUUAUAUCAUUAUAAUGUGAUCUUCCUUUUCUUCAAGAAAGGAUACUCUAGACUUUGUCAAUUCAUAUAGAACUCAUAGGUAGACAAAUGGAACCAAAUCUAAAGAUUCAUUGUAUCCUUUUAUGUCCUACAUGUGAGAUCUAUCCAUAAUUGAUAAAUCUAAAGUUUGGUUAUCACAUUACAAUAAGUGAUAUAACUCUUGUAUCUCAACUAGGAUACAACAAGACAAUUUUCAAUUCAUAACACUACUUUAAGGAAAUAGUAUAUUAAAAAGGCAUUCUUCACAUUACAUUAAUAUGAUAUUUCAAACAUUCAUAAUGUUUAAUACAAAAAGUAUUAGCUCUAUACAUUUAGAGACUAAUAUAAAUACCUUUAUACAUUUAGGCACUAAUAGUGGUCUUCCAUCAUAUGAAGCCACAUAAUAAGUUCUUAACAAAAUAAGAAAGUUUAAAGACAAUCUUUAAUGCCUAACAAACUUCCUAAGUAGUAAGCAAAAAUAUAGUGGCCGAACCCUUCACCACAUUUUCCUUGCUUGUUCAUCUUCUACUUGGCUUCUCCACCUAUAUACAAUUAUACAAGUGAUUAGCUCUUUAUAUCAAAUAUAAAUAUUUAGAAGAUCUAACAUUUAGAAUUGAAGAUAAGAACAUAAACCAUACCUUGUGGCUUGUCCUUAAGACUUGCAAGGUAUAACCUGCAAUUCCUCCUCCAUGCCCCUCCUUUCCACAAUGGUGGCAAGUCCUUUUGGGCUCCUUUGCCUUCUUUUUCCUCACUCCUCCUUUCGGCUUAGGAGUGGGUGGCUUCUUCUCCUUCCCUUUGCCUUUGCCUUGCGGCUUGGCCUUGGAAGAGGAUGGCUUGUUGUAGACUACUGCAGAAGUCCCUACAACGUUCUCUUUCUUCAUAGUCUUCUCGACAGUUACUAACAUAUUUAGUAACUCAGAGAGAGUACUAUCCAUCUUAUUCAUAUUGUAGUUCAUUACGAACUGCGCGAAUGUAUCAGAAAGAGAAACCAAUAUGAAGUCCUGGGCCAAUUCCCCGUCAAGUAGAGUACCAAGGUUCUCCAAUUGUUCAAUGAAUCCUAUCAUCUUCAGUACAUGUUGAUGCACUGGAGCCCCCUUGACCAUCUUGGUCUUCACAAGUUCACAAACAGUGCUAAAGCGACGGUUGCGCGUCCCUUCACCAUAUAACUCCGUAAGAUGGAGUAUUAUGGAAGUUGAACUGUCCAUGCCCUCGUGCUGUCUCUGUAGCUCCUCAUUCAUGGAAGCCAACAUAUAACACUUGGCUUGUGUGUCAUCCUCAACGUGCUUGUCAAACUUAGCACGUUCAUCCUCAGUAGCCCCAGGAACUAGAGGUAUGUGAGGAGGAGCCUUGUCUAGUACGUAGACAAUCUUCUCCAAUGUUAGGAGAAUCUUGACAUUACGAUACCAUGAUGGGAAAUUGUGCCCCUCUAGGCAAUGUUUGUCGAGUAUUUUCGCGAGUGUGCUUCCAACCAUAUCUAAAUACAUAAACAAAAAAUAAUUAGUUUGAUUGUUGAUUAAGUCAAACGAUUCGGGUCUUUAAACCGAAUGACACCACCCACCAUUUUUGGCAAAUUCCAUAUCCCUCAAGAUGGAAUCCGGGAGUUUUCAAAGAAAGCUCCUAGCGGGUUAUGGGAGGCUCACUAUUACCAAGCCCACCUCACGAUGAUACGAUGUUGGCUAGCAAAAAUAAUAAUGAGAGGGUACAAUUACCCAUUCACAACAACUUCUUGUGAUUACCCAUCUUUUUGGCCUCUAGAGAGUAAUGCCUCACGAUGAUACGAUGUUGGCAUUAUUUCUCUUAGUUAAGUUCUUUCCCACCAUGCCGGUUUAGAUAGGGGUUCAAGCAUGACCUCACGAUGAUACGAUGUUGGCCACACUCAUUGCCUACCUUAACCUCAUCAAAUGUUUUAAAUAAACUCCUCCUGAGUAUAAGCAUGCACUUUGCACUCCCC